UCUUGGAUUCGAGAAGAAGUUAUCAUGGAAAUAAGUGGAAUUUCAUUUUUCUUGCCUCUUUGUUUACGUGAAACCAAGUGCAGCAGUAGAGGCCGAGUGAAGGUGCUAAAAAGUCCCAUUUGUAGUCGUUGUUUAUUUAUUUUCGUUCGUUUAAAGAAAAUUUUUGGUUUGAUUUGCAUUGAUCAAAUUCGCUGUUUGGAUGCUUUUCAAGCAACCCAUUUUGGAAAAUCUUACGGUUUCACACAGCCUGCAGCAUAAGUUUUAGUUUCACGAAAAUAAGAAACACCAUUUUUCUCCCUCUUUUCUACUAUCCAUCAUAGAACAUCUCUCACAUAUCAGGUUAGUGAAAACUGUUUCUGAGCUCACAUUAAGAAAAACAGCUCUGGGGACCUCAGGAUUAGCCAUAUAUGUUUGAGUGGUCUUGCAUGUGGGAGCGUAGUUGAUUUGGUGCUGGUGCUACAUGAGCAGAAUACUCUUACAUAUCAUGAUAGGGUACCACUACUCGAUGAUCUUACAUAUCUUACAUAUCUUUUGAUUUCAGCCAUAUUGAGAUGCUUCUAGCUUGUGCUAACUGAUGGUUUACAUCUGCCAGAUUUUAUCUUGCUAUGCAUAUCAAGGUAAUUAGAAGUGAUGCUGAUUUCUAACUUAUCCACACACUAGAAUGAGUAUGAAACAUGAGUCACCAAGGUUUGAAAAAUGAUCUAUUAUAUAUCAAAGUAGACCUGUCAUGGAAAUAAUAACUAGUUAAAUUUGAUCUGAAUUAGAAAAUAGAAGGGUUUAUAUUGUGGAGCUUUUAAGUUGUAUAUAAUAAAUCAAAAGUCUGCACAAGUGCACAUGAACUUUGUAAAUUUAGGGGGAGUCUAUAUUCCUCUCGAACUUGGAAAGAUCUAUGAAACAAUCAGUCCUAGUCCUUGGAGUUUGGAAGCAGGGAAUUUGGGGCACCGCUUUUCUUCUAAGUUAUACAGAGUGGAUGAGUAAGGCCGUGUUAGUUAUUCCUAUCAAAAUCAUCUACUAAACAAUAUAUUGGGAGGCUACAUAUUUUCCCUUCUGCAGGAUAACAGUGGGAUUGCCUUUCACUAUGAGCAUUACCAGUCAUAAUUGUUGUUCAUAUCUACGAGGAAGCUAGGAAUUGAUGCAUUGGGGGGGAGGAAAGAAUGGAAUUAGGUAAACAUUUGGAUAUCACCCUUUUAGAAGAAAAUGGAUUAUAUUCGUGGAAUUUGAUGGAUGAUAUGGUUGUAUUGAUCAAUGGUGACGAGUGAGCUUCAUGUCUGGCAUGGUCCUUAGUCCAUGAUGCUGAGAUGUUUCAUGUAAACCUGUGGUUCCAUUGACCAAAGAAGUACAUAGAACAAGGUUAAGAUAGAGGUCUUGAAAUCACGUUAUUAUUGGUGAUAACUAUUAACUGGACCCAACUCCACCUCCAAAAAUGGUGUCUAACUGUUCUGUGAUUUUAAGAGUUGAAAGAUAGAAGGAAAAAGAGGGGUUUGAUGGAGAGGAAAAAAGCGUGAGAUAAGUGGAGGGUAUGCUCAUCCAUAAUUAGGGUUAUGGAAAUGAAGAUUGAAAAGUAAGGAUAUGAUUGACAAACAAUUAAGUGUUUUUUGAAAUUGUUCUUGGGCCUUCAUUAGCCUCUUUAGAACUUAGUAGCUAAAGAGCUCUGCUUAGGCUACUGCUACCAUUGUAGAAGCUCACUUUUAAGUUCAAAACUCGCUUCUUAAUUCUUUUACUCUCCCUCGAAACAGGAAUCUCUGACAACUAAAUCUAUUUUAUCAAAAUAUGUCUCUUUAAUAAUAAAUAUACCAAUAAUUGUUUAAUCAUUUUCUGAAGGGAAAAGUACUCUUGACCCUACCAAUUUUCCACGAGACAAAAUUUGGCCCCAAAACUUUAAAAUGUUUUAAUUAGCACAACUAAAUUAUUUUACGGUCCAGCUAUCUAUCUCCAUUAGAUGGCAGUAUGUAUUUAGUUAUCACAUGGUAGGUAUGUGAUAACUAAUGUCUAAUUGUUCCCAAAACACCCCUAUUCUAAUCUGAAAAGCCAUAUAGUAAUAAUAAAUUUGUGUAAUGAGCCAAGUUAAUAAACCAUCUAUCUUGUUAUUGACUUUGGAUCUCAUAAUCCAACUUGACCUCACAACUAAUUAGGUCAUACAUGAUAAGUUUAUUAGAUAUCUAAUGCAUAUUACACAACCUUCUGCCAGAUCAGAGUUCGAAAAAUGAUGCCUUCCCUCUCCAUGCACCUAGACACCCUCUUUUGCUUUUGGCAUGUCACCAACCACCUUUGGCCCCUCCUCGCACAUCUCGUCAUCACCGGCAUCAUCUGUCACCUCCUUGCCCUCCGCUACCUUGUGAAGCUCCUCACCCUCGUUGCUACAACCUUGCCAACCCCUCCUGACUCGCCCCUUUCGCAUUUCUACUUUUGUCUCACCCUCGUCUCCAACACCUUCCUCUCAAGCCUCCUCAUUUGUGCCUUCUCCCGAAGCCCCUCCAUCCUGCUAAGUCUACCGUCUUCUCCCUUCUUCACCAUGGCGAUGGCUCCCUCACUUACUGCUUCACCUUUCUCUUUCUUGCCAAGGUCGGUUUGUUGCCGCUCGCAAGGAAUUUGUUUGACGAGACGCCGUUGAGGAUUGGGGUGUUGUGGAAUGUGAUGGUUUCGAGGUAUGCUUUUAAUGGGAUGAUGGACUAAGCGAGGGAGUUGUUUUUUGAUCUGAUGCUGGAAGGACAUGUGGUUUACCGGAGCUGCAUGAUUUCAUGCUAUGCACAGAGUAAUUGGUACAUGGAGGCACUACAAUACCUCAAAAAAAUGCACUUAGAGAGCAACAUAAAGCACAGUGAAGUUACUCUAGUCAGUUUGCUCUCAGCUUGUGCAAUCUUGGAAACUUGGAUCAGGGGAAGUGGUGGCUUCAUGCCUUUUUUUUGGUGACUGUGGCUCCAUGCUUUCAUUGGCAAGAACCACAUGAGUUUGGAUGAUUAUAAUCUAGGUGCUCCAUUGGUUGAUAUGUUUGUCAAGGGUGGAAGCAUGGAGAAAGUAGUUGAACUCUUCCACCCAUUCCCUAGAAAGAAUAUUUCUAGUCGGAAUGCUCAGAUCACAAGGUUAGUAAUUAACAAGCCAGGUUGUGAGUCUGUUGAACCUUUCAAGUUGAUGUAGAGAUCAAGGACAGCCUAGAAAGAAUAUUUCUAGCUGGAAUGCUCUGAUCGCAAGGUUAGUAACUAACAAGCUUGCUUGUGAGUUUGUUGAACCCUUUGGGUUAAUCCCGUAAAAUCGAGUGGGAUGGGGUAGGAAGAGAGUUGCACAGGGAAGAAAUUAAUUGAGCAGGAGAGGGAGAGAGAUAAUGCGAGGGUCACGGGGCUUGAUCCCUGCAGGAGUUAAAAAAAGAUGUCCAGAGCUUUUUUAUUCCCAUAAGAACCCCCUUAUGAACUCCCCUUCUUGCUCUGCUUUUUUCUUCACCCUCGCGCUCUACCCUAGUUCCAUCCAAUCCCAUCUUAGGAAUAAAAUAAUAAAACAAAAAAUAGAAAAUUAAUUAUAAUAGAACUCUAAGUUAUGAUAAUUUAACAAAAUAAUAAAAUAAUAAAAUAAAAAUACAAGAAACUAUAUUAAUUAAUAUAAACAUGUGAAAUAAAAAGAAACAAAAGGUAUAAGUAAAAAAUAACAAGGGAUAAACUAUUAACAUGUAAAAUAACAACCAUUAUAACAUCCUAAUAAUUGUUACUUAAAAAGUUUGUCAUAUGGAUAUAUAGGAUGUGGUUCUGUUCCCUUAGUCAAUGAUAUAUUUAGAAAAUUUAUUUAGAAUUGAUUCUAUUUUAAUAUAAUACCAGCUAAAUUAAAUAUGAAAAUUGAAUUGGUAUAAUUCCUUUUCCAUGCAUUUAUUUGUCUAGUGCCCAAACAAUGGAAUAGGAAUUGCGAUUUUGAUUUCCUGACUUCCAUUCCAUUGCAUUCCGAUUCUUGUCUAUUCCUACAAAACCAAGUAUAUGAUUAGUUCAACAACCAGAGCAACGAAGAGAUUGGUGUGUAAUGGCUUUUCCAUUUACUUUGGUGUGCUUUCUUGAGUUCGAUUGUAGUCUAAUAGCAUGUCUGUUGUCGUUGCAGGUGUGGAUAUCAGCAUGAACACACAUUUGAAGACUGUGAAGCUUACUUUGAAGGGGAAGAAUCCAAUCACUCUUGAUCACCUCAGCGUGAGAGGCAACAAUAUUCGAUACUUUAUCCUCCCUGACAGCUUAAACCUUGAGACUUUGCUGGUUGAGGAAACACCUAGGGUCAAGCCCAAGAAGCCAACUGCAGGUAUUUUUCUCAUGAUUUAUCAUCUCCGCUAAUAUGCUUUUUUCGAUUUAAAUUGAUUGACCCUAUAAUUGGGCGUUGGCUUCACAAUCAUUGGUGGUUUUCAACAGGGAGGCCUUUGGGACGUGGUCGUGGGCGUGGACGUGGUCGGGGGCGCGGACGAGGCCGUUAGUCACGUACCAUCUUGAUCAUUUGUGGUGUUUGUUUCUGUACAAACGCCUGCUACCAUAGAGAAUUUUUGAGGGCUUUUGCUUUACUAGUUAGAAGCAGGACUGCUUGGCUACGACAGAUAGCUCUAAUGUAUGUGUUUUAACAGUUGGACUUUGAUGAUGAAAUUGGAUGAUGAAUCAGAAUUCCGAUGCAAUCCUUUUGUCUUUCCACUAACAUGGUGCUUUGGGUUGUUGAGCUUCAGUUAUUGGUGCUAUGGCUAUUAAAGUGCAAAAUUUAUGUCGGAGAAGUGAGAACUCAUAAAUCAAGGUAUAAAUCGUAGUGCAGCUAUGUUAUUCUGGCCAUGAAUCUGUUCGUGUGAUCCAUCUUUAUAUCCAGACAUGGACAUUGACAAGAACAUGGAUUUGUUCCUUUGUGCCUUGUAGAUGGACCAUGUGGUUUUGGCGAGCUCUUCAAGCUUAAUUUCCCUCUGCACACUUCUGAUCUGGGUAUAUAAGGAAUCUCCUAUUUGUAUAUACGGUGUAUCUUAUCCAUCAUUCUGUGUAAUCGUAAUAUGUGUUAAAGAUUUCGAAUGUCAGAAAUUGAGGGUUGAAAUUUCGACUCAGGCUGUUGCAGCUCCCGUGGGAAGCAUUUGUGGUGACGUUCAUGGACAAGGGCUCAGCACAAGUUUAGAUUUGUCCGAUUCAGGUUUGGUCCAUUGUAUCCAAAAGUUUAUCAAAAUUAUAAAUGAAAUCGUUUCUUAUACCUAGAUCUUGUUGACAUUCACCACCACCACCACCAGGAAUCUUGUUGCCAAAAAGAUGGAUAGCUUCGAAUGAUGCCCAUGAUCAUCACCACGUUCCCUUUCCAACGGCUGCUGCCAUCUCUCCAAGGGUGGUAGACGUGGCCGUGGUGGCUCGACCUUUACUGUCAUCAUCAUGCCUUGCUUCCCCGGCGAAAACUUUACCGCCAUCUCCGGAGCCCUUGGAGGAAUGGGAGGAGAAUAGCUCGUGGCGCUGCCAACAAUAAAGUUCUCACAUAGAUGGAGGAUGAUAGGCCAUGUCAAUGAUGAAUUGUUACAAGUCCUGUCUAUAAUUUUCUGAAGGGGAGGAAGAAGGGAAAGAGGAAGGGAGCAGGAGGAAGAAGAAUUGGAUACAGAGAGUAGUGGAGGUGGGGGAUUGGAAUGCCAGGUGUUGGCCCAUGAUCUCAUUCAGUACAAAGGUAAGGGAAUCACAGUGAUGGGAAAAAGGGGAAUGCCAUUCACAUAAGAGCAACUUUAGAAGCCAGCGAGCUAUCUCAAUUCAUGCUUCUCUUCUUGUUGGUCAUGUAGACUCGUCUCCUUGACUUGAGAUUCUGUCUCCUUGGUUCUGUCCAUACUAAUUUUAACACUUUGGGUGCUCAUGCCACUCUUUGGGAGUGGUCAUGGGAGACACCAAUGAGAGAGCAAAUGGUGUUCAAGCGGUCUCGUCUUCAUGCAGCGGCAGCAAUGUCAAUGAUGAUGCCACUCUUCGUGAGGAGAAAGGGUUGUUUUUCUAGGGUGACUGCCUGAGGGAUGCACUAUUGCUAUUCUUUUUCCAGCACCCUUCUCCUCUUUUCAGGUGCGAUUUUUUUUGCUUCAGAGACAAUGUAUAUUACUGAAAACAGACCCAAAAAAAUUGUCUUAUUGAUCUAAAAGUCUUUAAGGUUGAGAAAUUUGCACAACAUCCGCAAAAUUGUAGUUUUCAAAUCGGGCAUUCCUAAGUCUUGAGCACAUGAAGUUUCAUAGUCCAUAAAGAUAACAUUCCCUUGGGCAACCUCUUCAAAAGAAAUAAUGAUUAGAUGGUGCUGAGCAAGAAUAUCGCAAGGUUCAUUGUAUGCUGUUGUUAAAAUCAUUUUUAGGAGUAUUAUAGUGUUUUAUAGCUAUUUGUAUUUUAUUGGAGAUAUUCCACAUAUUGAAAUGAAGUGCCCAAUAUUACCAUUUGUGAUGUAAGGAUUUCUUUUGUUUCUUUUUUCUUUUUCUUGUCAACUUGGCUAUUUUUCUUGCUGUAUGUCAAUAAAGGAAGCGAACUUAUUUAUUUUCGCAAUUUUCUUGGUCCAUAUUUGUUCAUAUUCUUGAUAAAUGAUUUGACAACCAUAUGUGAAAGGCUAGAUAGAGACAAUAUAAAUAGUAGGCUAAAGAUGGAAGCAUCUUAUAUAGGGCUUCAAUCCUUGACCCAACCUAGGAUUCAGAUCCAAUAUUAGGUUAUCAUGUUUGUGUUCUGGUUUAAAAAAAGGUAAAAGAUUUAUUCGAAGUCAUCAUCAUUGCAUUUUUCUUUCUUUUUGAAUGAAAAAUGGGAAAAAUCUUAAUCCCAAAAUGUUUUAUUGGUUUGAACAAAUUGCAGCCAUUUGUGAAACAUUCCUUCCUCUAAAUCCAUUAUUCUAAGACUGGUCAUGACCAUCCAUCAGAUACUCUCUCAGAUACUCUCAUCACUCAAAUUAUUCUUGUACCUCCGUAUGAUAAGAUCACAACCAUCCAAAAAAAUACACUUUCCUCUUCCAACAAUUACAUACACCACAUUUACUAACAUAAUUUGUAAAAAUUAGUAAAAUCUGAUGCCAUGAAAACUGACAACAAAACAUGCUAAUCACAACCAUCUUAUACUUAUACUCCUUCCUCAAGAGCAAGUUAUUAUAAGGAAGAUUAUUUUAUAAUAAUAAAAUCUGAUGGAAAGAAAAAGUCCAGACAUCUCAUAUCAUCCAUUUAGUGCCCCUUUCUUUUGAUCUGUUUGCAUGCAUCUUAUGUGCAAAAAAAUAGCUCAACUGAUCUUCAUAUAGACUGUUUUCUUUGAUCUAUAAGUUGACCCAUACAGUCAAUAUACUUUGCUACUGUUGGCUAAGUUUAAGAAGAACUUAUAUAUACGUACACACACAAGUAAAAUGGAUUGACCUGCAAGAAUUCCUGGUUAUGUAAUAAUUUCAUACACUAGGGAGGUCUUGUAUUCGCAAAUUCAAUGGAAUAAUGAUGAAGGAAUGUCAAAGUCGAUAUCUACAACUGAUAUCUGCAAUUAAUUGGCUUGGGCUUAUAUAUAAUCUAUUUGACUGUUACAACAAUGAUAUAAUGGCUACGGGGAAAAGUAUAUCAUCUAAUGAGGAUUCUUCUAAAAUAUGAAUCCUAGAAGUAAAUCUCUGUCUCCCAAGAAUUAAUCCCUAAAGGAAUGGUUAAUGUCAAAAACUUGUCUCGAGUAUCGUAUUGGAACUCCACGUUUUUCGAGUUCACGAUGCAAGUUUUGGGUCUUAUGUUUGAAUAUGCUCCAAAAGGACCAGAUCCUCUCCCUUUGAUGCUUAAUCGGCAUGUAGGAUUCCCAUCAAAAAAAUCCAUCACUUCUACAGCUCCACCAGAAUUGUACAUUUUAAUUAAUCCAACAGGUGCAAAUUGAAUACUUUGAUUGUAAUUCUGAACAAAAAAAAAGACAAAGAAUUAACGAUUAGUAAAAUUACUUUGCUGUUCUUAUGUUUAUAUUUCUGAAUUGUCUGCAGUGAUAACCGUUCCAUUGGACACAAAAUAAUGGUCAACUAACCUUGAUUGGAGUAAUUGUAAAAACUUCAGAUUGCAGAACUUGUAGUGAGACAGCCAAUAAUCCAUUCCUUGGCAAUUGAUAAAGUGAACCUUUAUUUUGAAAAGACACAUACAAAGAUCUUUUGAUAUCAGAUCGCCAAAGAAAAAAUGAAAUUGAUUUCUGACAGGUAAUUCUACUUCAAGCAAAGGCAUCCUCAAAUCUAACGACAACAAGGAGAGUAGAAAAGGCAAAAUUUUCAAAUCUUGUGGAGAAUUAGUAUAUAUAACAGGUCAUUGCCUCAAUAAUUACAAUCAUACUCAAAUCUAGUUUCAAAAACUGUUCUUUUCUUUCCUUUCUUCUUAACAAGUAGUUUCAAUUAAGUUUGGAAAAUAUUUAACAUAUUAUACAGGACCUAUGCUUAAAUAAUGCAUUCACCAGAAUUUAACUUAAUCUAUUCAAACCAGAUGCAUGAGGAAAAUGAAAUUCUGUGUUGUUCAUGAGCACAAAGCUAGUCUAGGUGGGCUAGAAAAGAGUAACUCAGUCUUAUAUCUUCAAACCUAGAUCAUCUUCAUUAGCCUGUCAUUUUGUUAGAAGGUAGUUUUCAGUUUGAUGUUGACCACUGAAGAAAAAGUAUUUAUGCUCUUGGUAUAUAUUCUUAGUAUGUGUUUUGUAGGUCUAUUUGAACUUAGAAAGUUCCAGCCAGGGCUUGUUUUUAUAACUAACAACAGAAAUUAAAUCAAAAACUCUCUCUCUGCUAAGAUAAGUGAUAAAAUUUGGCUUUAUGCAUGUUCAAAAUUCAUCUAUAUCUUUGAUAACAUACUAAUUUAGAUAUCAACGUUAGACGUUAAAAUCUGUAAGUAUCAAUUUCCAUUACAAGUGAAUCAAUUUUGUACUCAACUAUAAAUGUUGUUGUUUUCCCUUUAAAUAAUUGAUUUAAUUGAGAAAUGCUCGAACUCUUGAAUCCAUUAUAAUUACUAGCUAUGAGAAUUUCAAGUUCCAAAAUUUACAGCAAACUGUAUUUUGCUAGGAUACUUGAGUCAAUUAGUAGUUAUUAAGAGUAAUCUCAACUCAAUUCACCAAAUUAGUACCAAUAUCUCAUAAAAAGUUGAUUGUAAUUUCAACUAUAUUGAUAGCACCUACUAUAUAUUUCUCUACAUGUAGCACUCAUCUUUUUCUGGCUGACAUUGUCCAAAGUCAUGCUUUGGAGGUCAUAUUUAUAUUGUAUUUUAUAAUAUUUUGAUUGAAUCCUUCACGUUAGUGUUUCUUUAUGUAUUCUCUUUAUGCACCAUGAAGAUAGAUAGUCAUAUGGAUGCAUAUUUAAUAAAAGGGAAGUGUUCUACGUAACCAAAAAAAAAGAAGUGUGCUAUCAAUGGAGAAGUCCUAUGAGAUGUGUAAUUAAUCUUACUCAUGAAAGAAAAGUUUUAUAAUGUGAAUAGAGCUAAUAUGUGGAUACCCACUCAACAGCCCAAAUGAUGUUGGUCUUCACCGAAAGACUGGGGAUUUCGCACUGAUGCUCGAGCUAUUGGAUAUGUUCUACUAUCUCUAAAUUACUCAUUAGAAAAAAAAUCAUAUGAUUUGGAAAUCUCUAGCAUAUGCAUUGCUUAUGUAUCUAGUGGUAAAAAGUAGAAAUUUAGAUGAUACGAGCAAUGCAUAUUUUUCAUGAUCAGAUGUAUUGAUUAGGGAUCUCCAAAUCAUAUAAUUUUUUAACAUCCAAUGGUUUGAAUCAUUAAUUCCAAGUCCCUGGUCGGACGGACCUUAUUUGAAUUAUUGUAAGGAUGCCCACAUAUUAGCCCAUGAUAUACUCACCAGAAUUGAAGGAAUAAACUGCACAAUCUCCAGUCCAACCAUUCCCAGCAACCUCUUCAAGAUACUCGAUGUCACUUGGGCUAAUAUGACCAGUGAGGUAUGUUGGCUUAGAAAUUGGGAUAAUCUGUUUUUUGUUAAGAUUUGGCCAGGUUCCAGCUCCUUGGCAAUUGAAAAUGCCAAGAACUCCAGUAUAUGUAUUCAGAUUCCAGAUCUUCAGAAGACUGCGUAGUGGAGUAAUAAAUGAUAAUAUUUAAUCAGAAAACAGACAUUCGAUUAAGAUGAUGAAGAAUUGCUCCACUGGGAAACUAUACCUUUUUCCAUCCAUUACUGGGUCAUUGAACAGACAAUCUCGUGUAGGCCUCCCGGGGUAUUUAGCCCUUAGAAUAGACCCAUUGGGAAGUACAAGCUUUUUAAGUAGCUCAAAGUUGUGCUGAUUAGGUUUGUCGCUGUAAAAUAUAUAAAUCAUUGUAUAGAUCACUACAGAGAUAGUAACUUUGGCUCUCAGCUACUCCUAAGUACUUGAUGCUAGUAAACACUAUGCACAACUUACCUGACAUAGACUCCACAACCACCCACGGCUCUUGCAGCUGCAUGAAACUCAGCAGAAUUGUGGAGGCUCUGAAAUCAAGUUACGAUGACAUAACAACCAAUAACAUAUAACAACCAAUAACAUGAUUACUAUAAAACAAGUUAAAAGAUGGCAUGACAAUGAGCAUGAAAUUAGAUAGCAACAAAAUAAUAACUGUCAGGUCCUGUUCAAACUAUUUGUAUGUGGCCUCAUUCAUCAGCUAUUCCUGUUCCUAUUAUGGGUUCCCUUUCUGUUACUGUAAGAAUUUUCAUAUCCUGAUAAACAUUAGUACCAUAACUAAUAAAAUUGAUCUCUUAGCCUCUUACAUAGAACAUAUCCCAAUCUGGGACCACAAUCUCUCCAAAAAAGAUGCUAUUGAAUGCAACAGCAGCAACAUGCAGUGUCUGUGAUGUUAGGUUUCUGGGCAUAAAGUCAUCUGAUGCUCUGGUAAUGGCACUCACAUUUGAACUGAAACAAUAAAAUAUAUGAAUAAGGAUCUUUGUCCUAGAAAUAAUUGAAUCAUAAGGAUGCGAGGAAGCUCUUUCUUUGUUGCAUCACCUGUAUACAGAAUCUGUGUUCUGACCCAUGCAGCAUAUUAUGUUAUUGUCCUGAAAGUUUUUAGAUAUAGAUUUUUCCAGUGCCUGCUGGAACCUAUGAGUCAGGGAGACCCGGCCACCAUAACCUGCUGCAAGGGUUUCAAGAAUAUUCUGUACAUCUACUUUAACGCCGUCCACAUUCUGUGACACAAGAUAGCUGUGUAGAUCACCAUAGAAUUCGUACGCCUUGUUUGGAUCUAUCAUGGCAACACCAUACUUCUCCAUGCAGUCCAUUGUUAAGUCUCUGGAAUGUGCAAGAUUUCCCGGAGAUUGGAGAGGGUAUAUUAGCUUGGAAUUAUAUUUCUUUGUUCCUGGUGCAUCUGGAUGAACUCCUCCCCAAUAACCCAUCAGCGCAUGCCAGACAUAGACAUACCUAUACGUUGUUGCAAAUAGUAAAAGAACAUGGAUCAAGUAUUCAUUUACUAUGAAUUUUAUAUUUAAAUGAAUUUUAUGUUGAAUUCAAAUCCCGGAAUGAUAAAGCUACAUACUUCACUCCAAAAUUCUUCUUUAUAGUUGCAACAAAAUCCUUUAGCGAGUUUGGUGCUCCAUUUGUAGCAACAUUUUUGGAACUCCUGAACUUGCUGUUUUCUCUAAUGCUGACUAAUCUGGCUCCAUACCUGCAGAUUGGGAGAUAAACACGGUAGAGAAACUAAGAUAAAUUCUUGAGCUGUGUAGAAACCACAAGCAGAAUGUCAUCUCAGGAUGAAGAGAGAGUGACAGGGAAAACAUACUGAGAUCCUUCAAUGGAUGGUUCACCUUCUUUCUGGAAUUCAUUAGCUGUGUCUUGCCAACCAUCAUCUAUUAUCAGAAAUCUUGCUGGAGUACCACCUUCCAAUAAACUAGAUCAAAAAAAAAUGGCCAAUAGGAUUAGUUGCCCAUGACAUUGUGUAGGUCUACUUAUUGAGUUAUAUAUACACUAUAUUUGGAGCAUAUAUUUUCAGCACAUUGAUACUGGUAAAAUGGAAUAUAAGAGGGGGGGGGGGGGCUGCCACACAUUUGAAUGUGAAGUGUGAGCAUUGCUGAUUUGACUGUAUACAUGUAGUCUAAAUCGAUAACGGCUACAGAAACUCAAUUUCAAGUCUUGCUAAGACCACUAAUCUACCGAGUGCUCUAUAGAUAUAAAAUCUGAACAUGGUACUCCUAAUGUCUGCAGAUAUAAAUAUUCAUAACUUUAUCUGCAACUUCAAGCAAGAAAACUCAUGAGGUCAGAAAUCAGCAAACACUCAGUCUGUCAAAGGUGUAUAGUAACAUAAAAGCCGAACCUUACAUCAAAAAGAAAGAAAAAAAAGCAAGAGCGUCGACAUAUCUGUGUGCACCAUGGUACUGUUGAAUACUGAGAUAAAGACAAGAAACUGUGACGAUACAACAACCAGAGUAAAAUGAGGAGAAAAGACAUGCUCAUAGAUAGGAUACCUCUUCAGGCCAUCUUCAAUUCCCCGGGGAUUUACAUCAAAAUAGAAAGCAUCCCAGGUGCACCAACCAAACCAAUCCAGCAUUGCAGGCUUCUGGUUCAAUAAACAGAGCAAGGCCCAUGGUUCUUUCUUAGAAUAUGACUAAAAGACUUUUCAGCAGUUUGGUGUUACUGCCAACUGAAUUGAUAUAUUAGAAAAGCAAAUGACGGCCACUGGAGCCUAUACUUGCCUGUUUAUAUUCACGCACUGAAAAGGUUCCUAUGUGCUUUUCCAGUAUUCUGUGAAUGGUUAUAGAUGCAAGGAAGGUCAAAUUGAUAAUGAUUAGUGAAGGAUUGAUCUCAAAAGAAGCAAAUAAUUUCUUGUAAGAAUUUGAUGAUAUCAGACGGUCUUUAUUGCAGUGCAAAGGGACCUACUUCAUAGAUUCCUUCAUGAGGUCAAAGGGAUUGUUCCCAUAAUUAAUGAAUACUGCUUCUAGGAAUUGGGAUGCUUCCACAGCAGGAUCUCCUGUGACAAUGUUGUGAAAAGUUAGAUCUAAGAAGGGGACUUACAAAUAUCUGAGAAUAGUUGAACUAGUAACUUAAAUAAGAAGCAGCACCUAUCUUCUGCCUUCAAAUCUUGAAACAAAAAUUCUAGCAUUAAGAGGAUGGACUGUAAGUUUUCUACCGCUUUCGAUGCAAAACUCAAGUUCGUCUGAAGAAUUCCCUUGCAAACUGCUCCUAAAGGGACCAUCGAGCACUGGCAAGAAGAGAAUAUAGUGAGUGGGCCCAUUAGAAGCUUCAUGGAGUCCUUUGUCAACACCUAAAUCUUCUCUUGCUUCCAUAAGCAACAUUUGUGUCUCCAUGGGUAUAUCACUUCCUGAAUUUCCCAUUCGAGGUAUCAUCCACCAGAUCUUGAACCUGAAUAAGCAAAGUAGUCGAUGAUCCCUGUAUGACAAGCACACAAGAAGAAUUUCAUUAAACGAAUUCUAAUUCCUCAUAAUUGCCUCAAAGUGUAGUGCUCACAAGAAUUGCAUACCAAGUUGCACGGCUACCGAAGGAAAAUUUUUUGGUCCAGCAAAAGUUCUGGCUAGGCUUUGGAUUGCUAGAGAUUUAGGCGUAACAAUGUUUGCAAUAAUAAGCUGCAAAAAGAUAAUGUACAUGCAUGCCUGACAAAUUGCAUUAUGGAUGCUCUGAUAUUAAGCAUUCAAAAGCAUUGGGCAAUGGUUUCUUUAAAUGGUGUGAUGUUUUUGCAUCUGACAAACAUAUCAGUGGAAUUCUGUCCACCACUUAUACCUUGCUGACAUAACUAAACCAAGUUAUGCAUUCUAAUUUCUAUAGUUUAGAGAUGCCAAAGUUAGGUUCAGACUUGUUCAACAAAUGAACCUUGCCAUCGAUGCGGGAUUCGCUUUUAGGAUCAAAAUGCGAUCCACCAAAUCUAAGUUCUAUGACCAUCACCUAACCUUAUGUGAACCCUCCAAAUUGGAACUAAAAAGUUAUCAUUAAGCAGAGAGAGUCUAUGAUAGUAUGAUGAACCCAGAGGCAUAUUUGACGGGUAGGGAGGUCCAAUUUCUUCUUUAUGCAAUACAAACUCAAGUAGCCACAGAUCAAGCCUUCAAGGUUUCCAGGAUGUAGAGAUUAGACGAAGUGACAAGAAAUAAACUUUUGAUUCUAUUUUCCAGUCUUUAAGACUACUUACAAGACAAAUAACUAAAUCUAAUGGGAAAACCAGCUUUCUUAGACAUAUUGGUAAAGGCAAAAGCUUGUGCUCACAAAGGCAUUGACUAACAAAAUUCUCAGCUUAGGAAGUCCAAAAAGAAGAAGAAGAAGAAGAAACGAAAAGAAAAGAAAGCUCAUUGGGAUUUCCCGUGGAAAUCCAACAAAAUUAUAUGAAAUUUCAUCAACAGCAUUCAUGGCUACCCCUCUAAAAUAAAUCUCAUGGACCAGGAUUUAAAAUGUUACCGAAGAACACCAAGCGUGAAGACAUGGCGGGAUCCCUUCCUAUCAGAUACCGCUCCUAAGAAUGCCGAAUCAUCAGUCUUGGAUGGCGAGACGACGACAUUCUUGGGUACUCUUGCGAGUGCCUCCCUCCCAUUAAUCCUUAAAACCCCGUCUUUGAUGAGGGUCCUGGUAGCCAAACGCAUGGAACUCCUCCAGAUCCUUCGAGAUCUGGGGUACCCAUGUCGGAGGUGAAGGUGAGGAUUGGGAGAAAGGAAGAGGGAGGAGCCGGCGUGGAGCUGGACGGCGCUCGGGGAGGGAGCGAUCAUGGUCUCCUCUUAUCCUUCUCUUGGGUAGCAGGGGAGUCCGAAUAAUUUCGACCGUUGGAACGGUAUAGUCUCCCUUCUCGGAUAUUUCCCGGGAAAGAAGAGGUGAGAGGGGCUUGAGAUACGAAGAGGUAUUUAUGGCCAACCACAGCCUGAGCUGAUCUUUUCGAAUUGUAACGCACGUGCCGAUAUUUGGGGAGGAAUUGCUGUCGGAGGGAAUCUCUGGUUGGAAAUCAAUGAAUCCAAAAUAAUAUCUGCCUAAUUCUGAUUGCUCGAUUUUUGAUUUUUGGAUGAUAAGAAGCCUUUGGGUUACCAUGACAUCCAUCUUUUUUUUUUUUUUUAGUCAUCUUAAUUGAAGGAUACGUCCAAACAAAAAGAAAGACAAUAUAAACAUGCUUGUAUUGCCUUUCAACGGCAUUUUGACAUGCAAGUGAAAGCCACCCAGACAUCAUGUGAACUAUAAUUAUUCAUUUGCUUGAUGAGCCUCGCAUCAAAUAUAGAUUAAGAUCCAAAAUAUUUUAUACUAUAGGUAAAUGUUAGUGCCAUUCUUCCUAGGUUUGAGUAGAAUUUGUUAAGUGUAUAUCACCCGCUAUAAUAAUAUUGGAAAGUUCUCCCUUAGCCUCCUAGAUAAGCUAUGGAUAAUAUUUCAUGAGUUGAAUGCACAAUGACGACCAAUAAUUCAAUAGAAGUAAAAAAAUAAAACAACUAAGAGCAUAACAUCAAACUAAAAAAACCCCAGAGCACUAAGCGAAAAUCUACUAAUAAAUGAAAUGAAAAGUGCAAGAGGUUCAUGACAAUAAGAAAAUUUCAAAAACACAAAAAAACCUUUGCAAGAAAAGCAUUAACAAGCUUCUAACUUACAAAAUUUAUAGACAUAUCUUCGAAGAGAGAAAUCCUAACUUUCUAGAAGCAAUAAAUAAUCCCUUGUGUCUUGGUCUUCAACCCAAGAAGAUCCUUGUAUGAGAGACCCUUAUUGUGUGUAGAAACUCAAAACCCUACCUUUUCUCUCAUCUUUUCUUUUUCUUCUUAUGUUCUUUCUCCUCAUGCAGGCUACCGGUUAGAAACAUAUACCUUAUUAGCAAAGCCCAUGUCCAACACCUAUUAGUAUAGUACAGGGCCACUCCAUAUGGGGCUAGCCUAAAAUACUAGCAGUAAGCCCAACAAAUAAUUAUUGAUUUUGUAAGAAAAUAAUUUAGUGAAAGAAAUUGGUGAGUAAAUGUUUUUUUAAAAAACUUCGAGAACUAAUAUGAAGGAGGCUCGGCAAAAAAUUAAUCAUGAUAAGAGCACAAUCUAACCUAGGUGUGUUAUAUGUCGACAAUAGCUAGAUGGAAUCACUUCCUUAUUUAAAAAAGGAAACAAGAGGGAAUAGGACAAGGGCAAAAACAAGUACACUAUGAUUUUUUUUUUUUUCAGAUGUUUAUCAUGAUUUUAUAUAGAAAUAUAUCUCAUGUGCUUCUAUGGCUUUACAUGUGAAAUCCUGUGAAGGGAAGCAAUACCUUGAUUGCGUUGAACACCUUCGUCCUCUCCAAGUUGCUAAAUGUGUUAAUGUAAGCAUUGGUAUCAUCAACUAUAAUAGAUAAGAAAAUCAUUAUCAAGUCUAGUCAAAUUUUUUAUUUAAUCAAUAUUCUAGUCUUUUGUAAUUAUCUUAGCUACUAAAUUACUUGCAUUUUUUUUCUCAAUUUUCUAGUGGAUUCUUAAUCCACCUCAUAUUUUCGAUUCAAUAUAAUUGAAUUAUAAUUUUACUGAUGCGGCAUAGGGUGCAGCCAGCUGGUAUUAUGAUUAACUAGACCAUGCCAAGCUUUAUAGAGUUGGAGGAUUUAUGGGAAAUACUUCGACAAGCAAAUAUUAAAUAUUAUUCUAUAGGAUUUAGAGAUUUUUUCUAGAUUUAUCUAGAGAUUUUGACAGUACCGAAUUUUAGCUAGGUUUCUCUAUUUUCAAUAGAAUAAUGCUAGUAUAUUUUCACAUUGUUGAGUCCUAAUUCGAAUAUAUUUUAUACUGGGGUUAAUGUUCGAACGAGGGUUAGGAGUCAUAUCCUCUCUCUAUAUACAACCAAUACAUUGUAUGGGGAGUCUUUUGACAUAUUAAUAAGAUUUAUCGAAGACAACUUUCUUUACCAAAUGAAUAGUUCUUCAAUCUAUUUUGCUUCUAUUUAUGUAUUGAUCUUCGAAGUAUGAUCCGAGUAAUCAACUUGCUCUUCAUCCUUCUUACUACAUCAUACUCUCAUGAUGUGAGUCAAGUCAAUUUUUGGCUUAUAUUGACUCAUUUUGACUUGAUUUACAUUGACUCAUUUAAAAUAUGCUGAAAAAAUUUCAUGACCCAAACCCAAAUUUGAAGCCCCUAAAAUUCUAACUUGACCAGGAAAGAUUUGAAUUAGAAUUUCUGGCCAACUUAGCUUUUGCUGCACCUAAUUAAUUGCAUUUCAACACUUGCUAGCAAUCCAUCAAACCGCAGCACAGAGAUUUUUUAGCAUUUGAAAUACAUGUAGGACCGCUGAUAAACUUUUCCUAUGACAUACCUAAAUUUGGCAGAACUUGCACGAGUGCCUAGGAACUGGUAAAUAAUUAAAUAUUUAUGUCAAAAUAUUUUGUUAAUUUUCUUGAUAAUUUUCUUUGACAUCGUCAAAGAGGAUCUUAACUUAGGAUCUGAUAAAAAAAAUAAAGUCGAGCUAACUUUACAUGCGCCUUAUCUAAACUCGUUGCAACGUGCCGGCUUCAUGUAAAACUUGUAUGUAGGGACAGGUAAAUAAUUAAAUACGAAAACAGGACCUUGGUUUUUGCCGCGUUAACUGCAUUCAAGGAACCGAUUUGUUAUGCUCGAUCGAUUUUUCCGUAUUGCUCAACGAAUUCCACCAGACACUGUAACGGGCGACAUUAAUUGGAGAUUGAUUUCACUCUAUUAUCUACUUCCUAAGAUUGAUUUCUUGAUAAUAUUUCAGGGUGUUUUUUUUAAUUUAUGGAAAUUUUGAGAGCGCACUCACGCUAUUCUUAUUUUUUUUAAUGAUGAAUAUGCUAUUUUGCUUUCAGUGUACGAAUUCUUGAUACAAUAUUUUUUGGGUAAUGGCAGAGGCUACCCUCCAAAAAAUCAUUGGCUAGACCUGGUCUACUGCUAAGUUGGUGGACCAGGCCAAUGAUGAAGCAACACACACAAAAACAAAUAAAAAGAAAAAGAGUUCAACACAUAAGCAGAAACAAAAAUCAUAUACUAAUAGAGCCAUGAUUAAAAAAACCCCAAAAAAGAAAGAAAAUCGCAGGACAGAGUACAUAGCCAGAUAAUAUACGGUAAGCAAAUUAGUUAUUUAGUAAGUUAAUACUAAGUAAAUCGAUAUACAAUUUCUAGUAUAUGGUAUUCAUCAAGACACAGUAUACAGUCAGAUGAUAUAUACUUAGCAAAUUAGUUAUUUAGCAACCAAAUACACAUUUCCAAACAAAUUAAUAUACAAUAUCAAUAACAUCAUACUCACCAAUACAUACUACAUGGCCGGCGAUGCACACAUGUUGACCUUUUGAUAUAUACUAAAAGCUUAUCUGAUACACACUUAACAUUGAUCCAAUACACACUUUCAGAUAAAUUGAUCCAUAGUUUUCAGAAUAUGCUUUUUAUCGAUACAUACUAUAUGGCUAGGUGAUACACACCAUACAAAUUAAUUAUCUCGCAAGCCAAUACAGACCUCUAGGUAAAUCAAUACCUAGUUUUCAGAAUAUAGUGCUCAUCAGUACCGACGCACAGUUUCUUAACUUAGUUUAACAUAAGAUAUUAUAUACAUAUUAUUUCUUAGAUUUCAUAAACUCUUAGGUGCAAAAAAUCUCAGAAAAGAAAGAGAGAUAUGGAGGAGGAGAAAGGAACUUGGGAGGAAGAAAGAAGACUUCACGGAUGGGAUAGACGACUUGAUAAGGAAGAGAAUAGAUGGAGAGGUUGGAUGAGGAAAAAAAAUGAUGCGGACGGUCUCUCUCCAUAGAAGAUCUCUCUCGGCACAUGUAAUUUUUUUUAUUUUUUUUUAAGUUACGAGAUUGACAGACUGCGUUAGUAGGAGGACCUUAUUUUUAUUUGACUUUUGGAUUUUCUUUUUNNNNNNNNNNNNNNNNNNNNNNNNNNNNNNNNNNNNNNNNNNNNNNNNNNNNNNNNNNNNNNNNNNNNNNNNNNNNNNNNNNNNNNNNNNNCUCACCUUGCCUCCUUUAGAAUUAUGCGAUUUCCAAGUUCGAGGGAAUUUAGGUUGUUAGGUUGUCACGUUAAUGGACCUAAACAAACUGGACCGGCCCGUGGGCCGUCACAACGAUAGAGUUUUUUUUUUUUUGGUGAAAACAAGGAUAGAGUUAAGGACCGGUGAGUCAUUGAAUAAAUCGAGGGGGCAGUCUCGUCUCGUUAGUCUAUUUCCUCCUCCGCAAAGCUGUUGGUUUGUGGACUCUCCUUUGACGACGACGAGAAGAAAGAGGUAAAAAUUCUCAUCUCCGAAAUCGUCGAUUUCGCUUCUCCCUUCCCUUCUCUCCUCAAACUCGAAGGCGAAGCCGGCGAGAUUGAAGCGCGAGGAUUUUUUUUUCCUUGUUCCGCCAUUGGAAACCCUAAAGAUCUUUGAAUUCCAGUGCAAGAAGCGAGUCGGUCACGCGGAGAAAGAAGAUGAAGAUCACUGUAAUGACCACGGAUGAUCGGUUCAUUACGCUGGACGUUGAUCCGGAUGAAUCCGUAAGUCCCUCGGAAUAUUCCUAAUCUUUUUCAUGUUUACGAAUUCUCCGAUCCAAGAUUGGCGUUUUCUCGCAUUGUGCUGUUUAAAUUGUCUGCAAAGAUCGCUUCUUUCUUUGAAAAUUAAGGGCUUUGGUUAAAUAUUUGUGGUUUUUGAGGCAUCUUGGGGUUAAUCUUGGUGCAGGUUGAGAAUGUGAAAGCGCUUCUGGAGGUGGAGGUAAUCUGCAUUGGAAUGGGUUUCUUUCUGUUUCCCUUUUUUCAUUGUAAAGAUUUUGGAUUUUGAUUGUUCUUGCGGUGAUGAUGGGUUCCGAUGUUAGCAGACUAGUGUAUCUCUUAGUCAACAGCAGCUGCAUUUCAAUGGAAAGGAGAUGAGGAACUUGGAUCGUUUGAGUUCUCUUGGGGUCAAAGAUGGAGAUAUGGUGAUGAUGACUCCGCAAGCCUCUCAGUAAAUCUCUUUUCCACUCUCAUCAAACAUUAACCAUAUAGGUUUCAAUCAAUACUGAUGUUUUGGUUAAUGUGGAGUAUGCAAUUAUAUAGGAUGCUAAUAGCAAUUCGCUGAUUCUAUGCAUGUGUGAUUUCACUAGCUGCACUUAGUCAUAGAGCGUGUGUAUGCUGAAGAGAAAUUUCAAUAUGAAGUGAAAGAAAUGGAGAAAAUAAUUCAAUGGUGUAGUUAGAGAAAGCUGGAGUUUGUAAAAACCAACUCAUCCUCUAACUCAGUAUUUAGUGUCAACUUAUCAAUAACAUUCGGUAUGGUCUGGUAAUCCAUCUUUAGAUAAGUUAUCACGAUCCAAAAUGGAAACAUAUUUGAAUGUUGAGGCAUGAGUAUCAUAGUCAAUGUUUAUAGAAGCAAAAAUGACAUUGAGGCCAAGGGAUUCUUAAGCAUAGCAAAUGAUUAAGCAGAAUAUAACCAAAAUUUCAUUACAAACCAUAGGUAAAUACAAUUCUGUCACAUAUUAAAUACACCAUAUUGUAGUAUAUUAAUAUACUUUCAAUUAUUACAAAACUAUAGACUAACUAUUAUAGUCGAUACUGCCUCAAUAAUUAUUUGAUCCUAAAAAUUCACUUGAGAAGUCAAUGCCUUUUAUCCCCAAUAUUCACUUCAUUUCUACUCAAUUAGUCUAAGAAGUUUGGUAGUAAGGAGUGAGCUAUGUAGCUUAUCAAUCAACUUACCAUGGUUAAAUGAAUAAAAUCUUUUAUUAAAAAUGAUUAACCAUUUUAAAGGAAACACAUUAUAAUAAAUCCAACCAAGGUUCGCUGUCUCGGUAUUGGAAUCUAUAUCAAUACCAUCUUAUUACAGUGUCGGUAUGCGGUAUGGUAUAAGACGGCGAGGCAUAUCAAAUAUCAGUAGUACGAGUCUAUGUAUUAGUAUGGUACGGUACGGAUGUACCGUACCUAUCGAUACAGCAAAUUUUGUAUCUAACUUGUAUUCGAAUUUUUAAUACAAUUUUUUUCAUUGAAAUGCUAUUUCACUAAAAUACGAAAAAUUAAAAUUUAUUGUAAUAAACUAAAAUAUAUAAUUAGAAAAAUAGUGUAGAGAUGUUUCAUAUAAUCUCACAUGUUCUCAAAAAGGCUUAUUUAUACCCUUGAGGCUACUCAUAUUAUCCUCAUUGCUAAAAGCAACCCAAGUCACUCAUAUUCUUCCUAAUAUUCGGAUGUUGGAGCGCCUAGGGCUCACUUGCUGGGCACGUGGGUUUGAACCCCAUGUUGGAUGCCGCCCCACUUGAGCGCCAACACGUGAUGUGAGAUUCGGAAGCACAGGUUGUGGGACCAUGCAGGGCGCACGUGACGGCCGCACAGAUCGCGGGUUCCAUGCGCACGGGUCUCGGAACCCAAGCUGAGUUUUAUCUCGUUAAAAAAGUUUGAUGUCAGAUAAUUUUAGAAAAAUUUGAUUUUUGUGAACUUUUCUUUUUGAUAAUCUUGAUGUUAUUAGGAAAGUCAAUAGUUAGUAUGCUUCGACUUAAAAUAGGAUUUAGAAUCCCACAUUGGAGAGAAGAAAAGAGUCUGCUUGUACUACUUGUAGGUACUCUUAUUGGUCCUUCUUUUGUAAUUAUGCUUGAGAUACUUGAGUUAUUGAUUAGUGAAAAUUCUCUUGUGGGAAUUGUUAUUGCUAUCUCUCAAUCUCUCACCUUUUUUUUUGCUGGAUUUCGUUUGGUUAGGAUAUGUCAGAUUAUGGAAUAAUCUGAGGAUUUUUGAAAAUCAUUUAUUUGAAAAAAUGUUUGCAGAGAAAAAAUAAAAUUUACCACGUUUGGUUGAUGGAAAAAUUACUUCGAGAAAUGGUACUGAAAAAAGAUUACUAUGUUUGGUUGGAGGUAAUUUUAUAUGAAAAUAUUGCUAAAUUUUCUGCAAUACUCUUGAAUAAAUAAUUUAGGUAAUACCAUUUUUUUUUUCAGUCCAUUUGUUGGCCAUUUAUGGCCCACAUACAUAAACUUUGUCAAUAUUGGCUAUUUUGAAUAUUAAAAUAUAUUUACGUCAGUUAAUAAAUAUUUUAAAUUAAAUAUACAUAUAUUAGAAAAUAUAUUUUUAGUGUAAAUGAAUUUUAGUAUAUUUAGGCAUACAAAUAAAUCUGUUAAUUAUUAAUAAAUCCUAUGUUAGACUUAAUGAAAAUUAAUAAUUAUUUGUUAAUUAUUAUUAAUAAAUAAUAUUUAUUAAUAAAUAUAUUAAUAUAUUAAAUGUACUGUUAUUUAUAACUAUUAUUAAUCUAUAUCUUUAUAUAUUUAUAAUAUAUUAAUAGGAUACUAAGAUAAGAUAUAUUAAUAUACUUAAUAUUAAUUAUAUAAUAUAAUGAAUAUAAUAAUAUAAAUAAGGGCAUUUUCUUGGAAAUGAUAUUUUCAGAUAUCUUCACUUAGUAAUCUAGUAUGGGAAAACAAAUACCACACGUCUGGUAGUAUUUGUUUUACCUUCUUUUUCAAAAAAAUAGGCAUGGGAUCCACCAUUUGUUUUACCAUCUUUCUCAUCCACUUUUCGUAUCAAAUAUGGUAAUUUGAUAUGGGAUUUAUUUUUUUGUGCCAGAUUACCUCCAACCAAACGGGCCCUUAGGGUUUGCAAAUGAGCGUUGUGAGAGCUGCAUCCUUGGAGUGGUCAGCCAAGAUGGUAUUUUUGGUUUUGGAAGAGUGUGACUUGCUCCGCUCCUCUUCCAGUUACCAUUCGCUCUGUUGAAAGCGUAUUGGCUUGCGAGUAACCGCUGCCUUUAAGUUCUAUCACCAUGCUCAUACAUGUUAGUGGGGCUUCUACCUCGCCAAAUUGGUUGUGUCGACAUAUCCUUCCUCCUUUGUGUUUUCAGCCUAAGUUCAAUACCUCCCAGCAUCAUAUUCAGAUGGGGCUACUAAUUAACUUUGAUGUCAACACAGAUAAGGUCAUUGAUAAUCCUCGAGGUCCACUUAUAACCCUUGGGCAAGGUUACACUUAUCCUCAUCUAUGAUCUAGAUGAGGUCACUCAUACCCCCUAGCUAGAGGUUCCUCCUCGAUAUUUGAGUAAGGCUAUUCAUUUACCACAUGGGUCAGGGUCCACUUGUAUCAUUUCAGUACUUUCAUUUAAGAUUGAUAGGAUUUUCUGAUAUGUCAUUAUGGAAGCUUCAACGAGAAUAAGAAACAAUAUAAAAUAGACAUGAUGUGAUCAUCAUCUGCGCAUGUUUUUCAAUUAUAGCAUGCGAGCUUAGUUUCAAGAUUACCAAUUUGAAAUCACAUUAUUUUUGAAGUUAUCCAAUUAGAAAUUGAUGUCUACUUUCAAAUAACAUAAGAUUCAAAUUUCCAAAGAGCAAAGCAUCAAGAUCUUUACAACAUAUUAUAAACUUUUAAAAUUGAUGCAAGAGUUGUUUAUAGAUUUAACCAUUUCUACAAAAAAACUUGAGGCUUUAAUCAUUGACAAGUAUUUUAAAGUUUCAAAACAAUAGCUGGUUUGGAAAGGGUUCAAACAUUAGAUUCCUCUUAAAAUUUUAAAUGCAGGAAGUGGUUCAACUCAACAAUUUCAUAGGAGUUAUUCAAGAGUAACUAGUCUUUAGGGUUUCAUAGGAGUUAUUCAAGAGUAACUAGUCUUUAUGUGACUAUCAGAUUUAUAAGAUAUAAUUAGCCUAAUUUGAAACCGUAAUUUUCCAAAUUAUACAAGAUUUAAAACACUAGGUGAUUCCAUAUUCAAUAUGAUGGAAAGUUACUAACCUUCAGAAGCUAAUAAAUGCCUAGUUCCCUUGUCCAUGCUCCUCUCUUUCCUCUUCUUCUUCCGCUUCCUACCCUCCUUUUCCUUUUUCCCCUUAGCUGCCCCCCUGCCUCUAUUUAUAGGCAAGGUAAGGUGGCUAAGCUAGUGGGGUCCACUUGGUGACUCACCUAAUAGGGAUAUUUUCCUAAGUACGUUGGUUUCGAAGGUCACAAGAAAGAUCAGUUGGGAUAAGAAGAUGAAGUUGGUGAUGAAGCAAGUGAAAAUUCCAACAGAACCCUCAGAAACAACACUUAUUUAGAUUUAAAUAAACAUCACUGUUUCCAUUUUGUUUUCAUUUCUAUUUCCAUUUAUUUAAGACAUUACAUGUAACUAAGGGGGUAACUCCCAUUUUAUUUAUUUGAGUUCAAUAAGAGUACCCAAAAAUUCAAAUAGUUGGUUUCUUAGUUUUAUUUCAAACCAUAGAUUUCCAAUGUCGGGUCAACAUUUCAACUUUCAAAAGUUAAGCUGUCUCUCAAAUCAUAAAAUUUCAUAAAUCCUGUUAUGCCAAAACAUUGUUAAAAUCUUGAAGUCCGGUAUAGAAAGUCUUAUGAAUUCUUCAAGACAUAUCACCCAUUUCAGUAUUAUUCAGCACUUAAGGUUCUUGACAAGAAGUUCAUAUUAUGAUAUUUCAUAUCCAUAAAUAUGUGUCUAAGUACAAGUGGGUUAUUACAUAAGUCUUGCAUGGGAGGACAUAGCCCGGGAAAUAGUUGCUGGGUGGCACAGUGUGAUUCAUUGCCCUGCUGCACUGUGUAAUGUGUUGAUGUGGGCAUAAAAGUGAGUGCAGAACGAGUAUUUUUUUUUUUACUUGAUGCAAGUUAGUCUUCUUGAUUUAGUUUUGAUUUGUACUAGAUUCUGGUUUAGUUAUCUUCGUUUUUUUCCUUUUAGAUUUAGGAGAAAUAGAUUGUCUAUUAUAUUUUUUUCCUGAUUUUUAGGUUCUAUUUUAGGAUUGUUUUUAACUGGGCUUAUUUUGGAAGGAUUAGUGUCUGUAUAGCCUGGUUAGGAAAGUUUUAGUCAUGAGGAUCAUGUUUUUUCAAAGAGAUUCAGUGGCUUUUGUGUUUGGUUAAAUAGACAAAUGAAGGUGCUAUUUAGAAAGUCUUACGUUUAUUUUUUGUUAAGAAACAUUUGAAGGCAUCUUGUUUGCUUUUUCUUUUAUUUGGUUCCUAGGAAGAAAGUCUGUAGUGUUCUGUCAGAUAAGUCCUAUUUCGUAAGUCUUAUUAUGUUAAACGAGAAGAAGAAGACAGUAUAGUCAUAUUUAGCAAAGCAUACUAGUUAUUUUUGCUUAUUGCUUCAUAUCCAUUGUUAUUCUUUCUCUAACCCUUUUAUUUACUACUUGGGUUUGAGAAAAUCACUGCAAGUAGUGAAAAUGAUUGCCUUUGGGAGCAUAGAUUUGUUCCCUUGUGGACUUUUCUGUUUUAAUCUGAAUUUAUCUGUAGAUUUGUUCCCAAUAAAUUUUAGAUCUGACAACAUUGUAGAUUUGAUAUCCACGACAUCACUUCUUGAGGGUCUGACCUUGAAAAGAUUUACAGAGUCAAUUUUUAUGCAUCUUUCUGUCACAAUUGUGCAUUCGAUGGUGAAUCUAUGUUUUUCCACGGGCUCAUUGUACUCAAGGUGACGGGGACAGACCCACCACCUGAAAUAGUGUACCAGGGGUGACUGACUAAACUAUUUCUUGGAUAAUGACCAUUUGUUCUGUUAGUUAUUUAAUUUUGAUCUUCAAGAAUUUUAAUGUGGCUUGUGAGGUUAGAAGAGGGGAGAAGAGAAAAAAGAGUUACACAAAUAAAAGCAAAUUACUUUUGGCAACUCUUCGGCAAGUACAAUUCAUUUUUUCCCUUUUCCUCCAGUUAGAACGCUACAUGCACCUUUACCUGUCUGCCUACUCUGCCUUUUAAGUGGCAACUGUACUGUCUUCGUUGAGGUAUCAGAUAUUAUCUAUUACAUGGGAAUGACCGGAAUACAUGAAUAAUUGUGUAGACAUCUUGUUCUUCACACCUGCUCUUUUCCCUGAAGUUGUAUAUAUCUUCUUUUGAAAUCAUAACUUUCGUUUCUUAAAGCAAGAGCUUUGAAUGACAUGAAAAGAGCCAUCACUGGUUAUCUUUGUUUAAAAUCUAUGAUGUUCUUUUUCAUUUUCCUUAUAAAAAAACUGCUUAAUAAUAUAAUCUUGAAAGCGAGUGCUGUAUUUUCUCUCUCUCUCUCUCCGAGUGUCUGUAUUUCUUCUCUCUCUCUCUCUCUCUCUCUCUCUCUCUCGUAUGGCAUGUGCAUAAGACAAGUUGAGACAGUUGAAUAGAAAAAUGAACUUUUGCUUUCCAUCUUCUAAAUCUUAUUCAGAUCAAAUGUGAUGGGAGAUAUGCUUCACUUUGAUAUAUAGUUUUCUAACUGAAUGUCUGGAAAGAGAUGUCGCCUGCAUUUUUUUUAUACAUCUUCAUUGCUUGCCAGUCUUAUAUAGAUCACUAAGCCAAAAAGAAAAAAGAUUAAGAAGUACCAUUGUGAUUUCUGUAUCCUCCCAAAUAGAAUUUCUUCUUGCCAUCAUCCAUCUAUAAGAGCAUGACUUUUACGUACUUGGCUUUAGUACCUUGCCUAGUCGAAUCUGCCAGUAAUUUGCCCCUGCUUCCGUGAACUAGAAGAAAGAUAUUCUUUUCAUGAGUUAAUUGGUUUUUGCCGUUUGUGGGAAAAAGUUACAUUGCCUUCAGAAGAUGAGAUGUUUUCCUAUUUAUAUCUAGUUAUGGAUAUUAGUAUUCCACUGAGAGGACUAACUUCAUUGAUAUCUAGAGAGCUAUUUGAUAGUGACAUUUGAUGAGCUGUCCUGGGAUGAUAAUUGCUUUUGACCGAACUAUUUCAGGGCAUCUUCCAGUGAUUUAAGAUUGAAUUCUGAUGGUUCUGCCAUGAAUCCUGGAGCCUUCCAGCAGCAGAUCCGCAGUGAUUCACAGUUAAUGGCACAACUGCUUCAGGUAGACUUUCUUCAGAUACUUGAUUUGCUUGACAUCCAAACUGUUUCUUCAUGCUGAACAUACUAAGAAACUUUUUUGCUAGUAGAAGGGUAUUGCCCACAGUGGUUUCUAUGCCCUUCAAAGAUUUUGCAUUGGGACCAAGCUGGUUUUGGUCCAAAUUAUACAAUACGCAUCAAAUCUGGGAUAGCUUUUUAUAACGAGUUUCCUUAACUCCAUGUAAUUCAGAUCAAACUAUGUUAAAGUAAAUGUUCUGUCAAAUCAUCUUCUCUCUGUUGUUGUCAGCACUCAGUCGUUUGCCAACUGCUUGUGUAUUCAGAAGCUAGAAAAAUUGAUUUUCUGUAUGACAACUUUAGCAGCAGAAGACCUUUGGUUCUUUUUUUUUCUUCCAGUUUUUCAUUCUGAAUAAUGUCCCCUCUAGAAUCUGAGAUGACCAUGCAACUUCAUUGCUAAUAGCUUCGGUUUUCACAAGCUGGAUUCACUUGCAUCUGAAUCUUUCAAUCAUAAAACUCUAUUAGGUAGCUAACAGUGCCACACGGUCAAAUGCAUCUGAUUAGUCUCAAGUUAUUCUAGUUUAAUUUGUUCUAAGAUCUAUAAUUAUAUUUUGUGGUCAUCUAUUAUAAAAAAUUAUAGCAAAGAAGGUGCAUUGUAGGAAGUAAUUCAUGGUUGAUGUCCCUUUACAGUCUACACAUGCAGUUGUCAUGGAUGAAUCUAGAUGAAGCAAGCUGUAGAUGUGCUCAGGUAGCAAGGAAAAGAGAGGACGUGGUAGAUAACUGAUUGGUCUACUAAAAUAUCUUUGGGCUUGACGUGUUGGCAGAUAAAAUAUACUUGAUUAAUGGAACUUGGGUUCUAAUGGGCUAACUUGAACUUAGGCUGAGACAAUUAACUUUUCCCCAUAUGAAAGGUCAAAAUCCAAUUGAAAACCUGAUUUCCUUGCUAAUCUCUGUUAUUAUUUUCUUUGUAGGGCUUACAACUAUGUGGUGUGCAAACAUAGUUGGUGAUGCCUGUCCCUAGGCCAUCUUCACAUUUGACAAAAAAUAUGACUAUUCUAAAUCUUACGGUUUCUUUCAGGGAAGUUUGCCUUCCAUUGUACAAAAGCGGCCCAACAACUAGAGUUAGGCUCAUAUCAAGGAUGAUGAUGAAUCAGAGGUCCUGUUGUUUUAGUUUUACUUCAUCACAAAAAUAUGAAUUGCAUUAAAUCAACUAUAUUGACGAUUUCAAUCAACUAUUAUCUAUCUCAAGACAAUUGUAUAUAUUGAUUGGAUGGUCUAAAAGCAUAAGUCUAUAAUUGCAACAAGCUUCCUUAUUUAUAAUUGAAUGCUUGAGAUUUGAGUCCUAAGAAGAAGCAACAAUGACAUUCUCACUUCCCAGAUUUGUGAUUUUGAGGAUAUACAUUAACAAAGCAUGCAAGACUAUUUUAUUUUUUUUCUUGGGCACCAGCGAGCGGGUGUUCAAUUUUUUUCCUACCCAUUUGCAUCCCUGGAAUCGUUUCACAUGCAUUGCAUGUUUGGAAUUCUAAUAUUUCAACCCACAAGUUAACAUCAAAAUAAUUUUAUAAAUGUUUACACAUUUUACCUUCAAACUAUUGGAAAAGUCUUGCAUUAUAAACUAUAAGCAGUAUAAUUUUUAUCUUAGUAUGUUAUCACAUUAUUGGAUGCUAUCUCAUAACACAGAUCAAUAUUGACCACUAUGCAAUUGAUACAUUUUUCUUAAUGAUGUCUAAGAUACGAUGCCUGUGUCAUGGCAUGUUAUGUUUAUAGAAAACAGUAACAAAAUUUUUAUUUCAAUUGUAUUUCUUUCUGGUUGUACAAUUUGAAUUUGGGGGCUCUCUUUUCAUGUUGACUUUGAUGUGGGAUACAUGUAAGCAAACCAUCUCUACUAGUUAUUUGCUGCAAAAUCUUCUCCAUUUCUAAGCCUCUUAUUUGGAUGUCUCCAACCCCAUGAUUCCUGAUUCUAAUACAUGAAAAAUCCACCUUAGUGUCUUUAUCCUUGCUAUGCUCAUUCUGUGUGGAUGUUCUUUUCAUGCCUAACCUAUCAAUCCAUACAGAAGGUUGCUAUUACAAUUGUCUUUCAAACUUCUCUUCUUUCACUAUUUGAAUGGUAAGUUAUGAUCGCAUAUUACUGCAGAGAUCUGUUUCAACUUUGUCCUCCUAUGCUUAAGCACUGUUAUAACAGUCUUGAAUAUCUCGUUGUUCUUUCUAUAAUAUGACAAUAGUGGCAUAAUAGAUCUUAUGGUAUCAUGUGUUGUUACUUCAACUCUGGAAAAAAAAUCUGUGGUCUCUAUUUUAGUUUGUUUUGCCUUAAUUUCAUACAACCUGCUUCUCUGAUUCCAUCAUGGUAUUCAAUCACCUCUUUCUAAAUAAAUUAACAAUAUAGGAUCUGCAGAUCACAUACAUUGAGGGGCUUCCUCAAAAUUAUAUAAUGAAUGAAUUUACAACAAUUAUCCAAAUGUCAGACUUCAGUUAGUGCAGCUUUAUUGCCACUUGGAAGUUUCCAUUUUCUUUGUAUGUAGUUUCUGCAAUUAUCAUUAUUCACUCAUACUUUUCUUUUAUAUUAUCACUAUUUAUAUUCACAUGCUUCUCGUGUUUAAUGCCAACUAAAUUGUCUCCUAUGCACUAUAUUAUAUGCAUUCUAGAUCAAUUAAGCUAUGUUUUGGCCCUUUUGGUUUAUUGUUCUUUGUGCUAAAUUGCCUUGUUAAGAAAUUUGCUUCCGGAGUCGACAUUCGUGACAUGAAUUGAAAUGCUUGUCUUAAAUUUCCUGCUUAAAUAUCCUUAUUCAUAGCUCAACAACAUGAGGCAUGAUAUAUUUCCUGUGCUAACAGAUGUACUCAUUUGAGCUUUCUUAUGUUGUUAAUAUAACAUAUUAUAAGUACUCAUAACCUAAAUUGAAAUGCUUGGGUUAAAUUUCAUGCUUAGAGAUCUUAUUCGUAGGUCAAUGACAUGAGGCAUGAUAUUUUUCUUGUGCUAACAGAUGUACGUUUUUGAGCUUUCUUAUGUUGUCCGACUAUAUAUGAUUACUACAUUUUAAACAAUUAUUACUGUAUGUUUGCGUAAGUUCUUAAAUCUUCUUGCCAAAUGCAUGCUGCUACUAUGGCUUCAUUUUCUCGAAGUUCUGCUUUGAUAUCUCAUCUUUUGUGAGGUUUUUUUGCAUCGAAGAUGACUAUUUAUCUUGCAGAAUGAUCCAGCAUUUGCACAAGCUGUACUUGGUGAUGACCUUGAUCAUCUGCAGAACCUCUUGCGAGAGCGUCAUCGACAAAGACUAGAACUACGGCGUAAACAAGAAGAAGAGCUUGUAAGGAGUUUGUGCCAAUUUAACACAUAUAUUUCUGUCAUUUUUUAAAGGAAUUCUACUGGUAUCUGCAUAUCUGUGUUAAAUGGGUUGGCUCCUGGUUCAGACGUUUUUGCCUGGUACAUAGAUGUCUUUCUAUUUUUAAAGAAUUUUAUAUUUAUAGGGUCAUUUAGGCUUUAUGUGGUGAUGAUAGGUUUGUGAUUGUCAGCAUUUUUGUUAUAUUGUUUCUUAAACAUGCUUGCCCUAUCUGUGGUAUCCAUGUUCUUAAAGGCAUUUUGACCUGUACCUUAUUAAAAUGAUUACGUAUAUUGCUACAAAUUGGCAAACUCGUGUAUACUAAACAAUAGCUCCAUUUCCAGGCUCUGAUGUAUGCAGAUCCUUUUGAUGUUGAAGCACAGAAAAAGAUUGAAGCAGCUAUUCGGCAGGUCUAUUAUUUAUUUUGCAUGAUGCUAAUCAAGAAUUAUUUUGUUUUCAUAUCUUGUUUCAUUUUGUAUGGUAGUACUGAAGGGGCUUGUGCCUUGAAAUAUGAUAAUGUGGGCAAAUAAGAUACAACUAUCCCAUCAUCAGUUUAUUUAUGAAAUAAAAGGCAUUACCCUCAUCAAGUACUGAGUUUCCAUUUUCAUUUCUUUCCGUCACUUCCUCAUCAACCUAAGUUACCUAAUAUGCCUAAAUGUUUGCUUUAACCUGAAAGCAAAACAGACUAGAGUUUCUAAAUGAUGAAUUUGAUCUAUUGAUACAAAGCUUGUCAACCUUGUUAUGCAAAUUUGGUGCCAAGGAUCUCUUUUCCUUGUCUAUUUGUUGAUGGCAAAGUUUUGCGCAUCAUCACUAAAGAUACAACUGUUCUUAUCAGACAUUAUUUAACAGACAUGAUUUACAUGUAUAUAUUGUUAUACUCAAAAAAAGUACACAAUGAUAGAGCAUUGAUACACACACACAAAGAAUCUGUGUAUGUUAAAGUAGAAUUGCUCAUAUUCUGUCCUAGUAAUUCCUAAAUAACUGCUGAGCAAAUAUCGAACCUGGACAUAUCAGUAUGGGCCAUCCAGCAGGUCAGUGCCCUCAGUAACUGUCUAAUCUGAUAAUAUAAUUCCUCCUGGAAACAAGAAUAUCCAAUAUAUGAAGGUGGCUGGUGGUUCCACUCCAACUUGAUAAUUAUACAUGUACUCCAUCUAACUAUAGCAAUUCAAUGGUACGCCUACUUGUAUACAGGAUGUUAUGUAAAUAUCAUAGUUGGGCAUUCCAAUAGACUUGAAAGUUGCUGAUUGACCCCACUAUGAAAGGGGGAAAAGAUUUUGUGGUUUUCUAUCUUGUGAAUGUAACAUUGUAGUGUGACUCCCAGUGCACUUGAACUUUAAGACUCAGUGCUAACAUAAUUAAGAGAGUAGUCAAGCCAUGGACAACUUAAUUGAUAUGAAGUGUCUGCCAAAUCUCGACCAUGAUGGGGCUGGUUUUGUUUCCACCUGAAUGUGUGAACUAGAAUCCAAAUUCGUUUCUGAAUCUGACUAGGAUUUGGUUUCCUUAAGAGAUGCAGAACCUGGCUUGGAUUUCUGAUGCUAUUUGGAUCAGAGUCUAGUGGGAUCUGAUGCAAAACAAAUCUGGCCCAUUGGUAAAGCAAUGUUGAAGGUGCGUUUGCAGUAGGCCAGAAGUGUCUACCGUGCACUAUACCAUGCAUUUCUUAGUGGUGUAUGCUGUUCAACCCUCAGUGUGGGCACAUACAAGCGGUCUAUGCUGAAAGCAGUAUACUUUGUAACAUCAGGAUCACGUUGAGCUAUCUUUGUUAUUGCCUAAUCUUCUUGCGGCAUAACUUCUUGUUAACGCUAAUUUAUUCUCUAUCCAGUCUAAUUAUCACUAAUCGAUAAUAAACUGCAGAAAGGAAUCGAUGAAAACUGGGAGGCUGCAUUAGAACACAACCCUGAAGCAUUUGCACGAGUGGUAUAUCCUGUGCACAUUUUUUUUUAAUUAUAUGAAUUGGAAAUGUGUGUAUGUACUUAUCGACAACUUUUCCUUUCUACAGGUUAUGUUGUAUGUGGAUAUGGAAGUCAAUGGGGUACCUGUGAAGGUAUUGUCAAAGAAUGGCAUUUUUCAUCCUAUAAUCUCUGUUUCUUUGUGGGUUUUUUUUGCAUGAAUACCCUUCUAAAAAUUUAAAUUUGCAUGAAUACCCUCUUAAAAUCUAUAUUUAUUUUUGUACUCUCAUAAAACACUGUUUUUGCACAAAUACCCCUAAUAUAACGGUUCUUCUAACACCGUUAAUAAAAACCAUAUUUAUUUGAAUUAAAAAUAAAAUAAAAAAUUGAAAUUAUUUUUUUGUCCUUCACUGCGAUCGCCUUAUGAUUGUUUCUUUUUGCAUAUCUACCCAUUAAGGGUAUUUUAGUCAUUUUAAUUUGGAAAUCGUUAAUCCUUUAAUGACGUUAGAUGGCGUGGGUACAUAUGCCAAAACAAGAAUAAAAAAGGGUAGAAUAGUAAAACAAGUGUUUUACGAGGGUAUACAUGUAAAUAUCAAUUUUGGGAGGGUAUUCAUGCGAAAUUCGAUAUUUAGGAGGGUAUUCAUGCAAAAAAUCCUUUCUUUUUCUCUUUAUGUUCUUGUACAGUUUCUUUUGCAAAUGUGAUUAUGCUCAUAAAAUACCAAGAUGACAUCAUGUUGGUUUGGCAUACCAAAUGAAUUUAUUGUGAGUCGGGUUAGAAAUUUUAGAACUGUUAUUUUGAUAUGAGAAGUUUAGUUGUCGACUUUAUUUUCAUGUUCUUGUUUAAUAAAGUUGAGAGAUUUUUGGGCAGGAAAAACAAAAUGUUAAAGGGUAACAUUUCUUCACACACACACAUACACACACACACAGUACUUUCCAUGCCCCACAUGAAAUGAGUACCGGUCCUUCACUGGUCCGGUUGAGCAUGGCUGGUACAGAGCAGUACAAAUCAACGCUUAAAUCCUUUUUCCUCUGUUUGUUUGUCAGUUGCAUAUGUCAGCGGGUUCUUAAGUUUAAUUGGCUUAAAGAGUCAUGGAGGAUGCUCGCAAUAUUCAGGCUGUGGCAUUCUAUGCAUAUCGUAUUGUAUUUUGUUGACAUUUAAUGCAGCCCUAAGUAAAAAUAAAUGCUGCUGAAAAUAUUUUGUCAAAAUAAUUUGUCUAGAUUCGGUUUGGAUCAGAAAUUUACUUUCAAUUUUCUGUUGUGGACAACAGAAAAACUAGAGUAAAUGAUUAAUUUGGGAAAGGAAGGAUUAGGAGGAGGAGAAUUGGAGAAGCAAAAAAAGUUGAGAGAGAAGAGAAGAGACAAAAAUCGAGGGAAAUAAAUGCAGCCAAUAGAAGUAAUAUGCAUUAUACCUAUAAAACACAUAAAAAAUUUCACUGUUCAUGGACCUAGAAAUGAUUGUUUGUGCUGCAUUGGUUAAAACCACCAUUGUCAUCGAGGAUGUGCAUUGAGCCAUGACUUAUGAGGUUCUGGUAUAAUGCAUAUUAUUACACAUGGUAUAACAGGUACCACUGCCACCUUGAUUUUUCUUGUUGGGCAGUUUAGCCUGUUACUAUUGGCUUGUGGCCUUUCUUUAUGAUGGAAGGCUUUUUAUAUUAUCUUUAUCCUAAUUAUUAUUCAUUUUAAAUUCCUUUUUUUCUUUCGAUUCAUUAGCACAGUUCCUUAAGGUGGAAGGUUUUUGAUAUAUUAUCUUCAAUCCUCAUUAUUAUGCAUUUUAAAUUCCUUUUUUUUGAUUUAUUAGCACAGCUCCUUAAAAAUUAUUUUAAGUGUUCCUUUUCCCCUUUUCCUUGGCUGUUCCAGGCAUUUAUUGAUAGUGGAGCACAAGCUACAAUAAUAUCAAAAAGCUGCGCUGAGCGUUGUGGGUAUGAUCAUCGAUUAAUCAUCUUUGCAGUUUGAUGAAUAGUAACUAUCAGUUUUAUGAUAUGUCUACUUCUAGACAUAUAAGCUCCUGGGUCCAGAGGGUAUAAAUUUUGUAAAUGCUCUUUGGGUGGUCCAAUAUUUGAAGAAAAGUCACACCUUUCCUUUAUUUCAGUGUUUCUUCAGUACAGGACUUCAGAUUUAAUUAUUUAAGGGUCAACUUUUACUCUGGAAAAGUUGCUUAAAAGAUCAAAAUGAAACAUAUGAUGACCAUGGGAAAAAUGGUAUUAGAAGCAAAAUGUUAUUGGUUUAUUAUAUUACAUAAGAAUCACUCACAAUUUGUGUGCUCUAACCAGUGUUUGCCAGAAAUUUACAAAGAAUAAGAAACUUGUUAAAAGUAAAUAAUGAAAGAAUUUCAUACAGCAUGACCUCAAUUAGAGAAUUUUACGAACCUGGAAUUUUGUAACAAUGGUUUCUGCAGCCUCUUUACUUUUUAAUCCUUUUUUGGCUGUUACUUGGCAUGCAAUGAGAAGCUAAUGGUCAAGCAGCUGCAGACAUCUCAAUCUCUUUAGGUCCACACAAUAGAUUAAACUCCUGAUUUAUUAACAAUCUGUAGAUGUUGUUUCAGAUCACGCCUUAGAAAUAAUUAAUUAGAUCUUGUUUAAAAUCUUUUAAUGAUUUCAAAUAAUCUGUUUAUUACAUUCACAUAUUUCUGAAAUCUGGUUGUUUUUCAUGUUGUCUAUAAUGCCAUCUGAAACAAACCCACUUUUGAAGAAUUUAAAUUUCUUGAGGAAAUAAAACUACUUAGAACCAAUUUAUACUAUUCUACUGAGUUCAUGCUAUUUAAUAUUUGUUGCAUUUUUAAAAUUUAAUUAAUUUGCUUUCUAUGUUAAAAUCUUUUGUCAUGCCUUUAUCUCAACUCUUCCCUGGCUUGUAAAAGAACUUUUUUUGUUGUCCUCUCACAAUUUGCACUCUUGUGAUAAUGUCAGCAUGAACAAAAGAAUAGGUAUAAGAGGCUGCUUGAAUAUAUACAAAUAUAGCAUGCAGCAUUUAUCUUUACUUUGUAUUUUCACUUUGAUUUGUGAUGUGAUAGUGCACUUAUAGAAGCUAUAAACACGCAGAAACCUGUUUUAGGUGGACAUUAAUUUAGGUGAUCCAAAAAAGUAGAAAAGAACAAAUGCAUAUGGAGUAGUGGAAAAAUCCAAACACUGAAACUCAAACUUAUACAGAUCUAUUAUAUGCAUCAGAUAGCAAAAAAUAAAGGGUUUCCUAGGGAUAUCUUGUUAGAACUCCCUGACAAAUAGACUUUAAACCAUGUCCUAUGGAAGCUGAUCUCCUAAUGUGUCACCCUGUUCCUUGUGCUUUAACAUCACCAGUUCCCCACUGUCUUCAUUUUAUUGCAAGUUUUUUUUGUUGCAUUAAUCUUUUUCAAUAUUUUAAAAAUGGUAUCCAUUUGAAAGGAGCUUUAUGAACUAGCAGUUUGCUUCUCAUCUCAGCAUAUUUCAUCAGGACUCCUUGGUACUCGGUAUGUUGUUAUGUAAAUGGAUAUCACAUGAGGAUCUUGAUUGAGGUUGUGCUUGAGCAGAACUUCUUUUUCUAUUAAGGAUGCUUCUUUGGAUUUUUUUCAAAUAUUCUUAACAUUAUCACUUUCACUAUUUGCCUGUUUCAAAACCAGUAGCUAUAUGCUUUUGUGAAAUUUAAAGAGAAAAGUUCACCAAUCAUAGCCUGUUUCUCUAAUAAAUUGUCUUCUUUCUUUAUGUUAGGUUAUUAAGACUCCUAGAUGACCGUUACAGGGGUGUUGCUGUUGGGGUUGGCCAGUCAGAAAUAUUGGGCCGAAUACAUGUUGCGCCAAUUAAGGUAGUUUUCAAACUUUGUUUAUUUGUUAAUAGCAUCUUGGUUUACAACCUAUCCUUUUCUUCCUGUUGAUUAAGAGAAUGUUCCAUUUACUAAAGUUUCUUGAUGUUCAUGCCAGUUUUUUAUAAACAAUAUGAAUAUAUGGAAACAAAAAGUUCAUCUUAUCUGGAACUUGUUCUGGCUUAGACAUAUUUUUUGGGAGAUACAUAUUUUCUUCAUAUGCAUAAUCAUAGUUAACAAGCAUUACUUCAUUUAUUUGAAUCACAUCUACAAAUUCACCUUUAGGAUUUAUUUCUACGGUAGUAAUAUUCACUGUUAUUUCUAUUUGUUUUCCUUUAUCCAUGUUACUAUAGGUUUUUGUUUUUUCUCUUGAAUCUGGUACAUAAAUUUGACUCCCUCUCCUUGUUGAGGUCUACUGACUCUUGAAAUCUUUGAUGAAUAGGUCAUGUUAUAUUAAUUGGUUUGCCACAUAAUCUUUAGUAGGGCCCUACUUCUAUGCUUCCACUGGUAUAAUCAUCCCUUAGCUUAUCCUUUCUAGUUAGCAGUCAUCUGUUUGAGACUUUAGCAGUCUCAUAUGUUUGCUUGGACCUUAUUGCUUAAAAUUUUGAACCAUACAAAGUGGCUAAUUUGUUUAUUGUCAUACAAUUUUUUAGCUCAAGUUUCCAAGGGAUGUGUGGAUCAAGUAGCACCCUGGAGGCACUUUCCAAUUCAUUUACCUGGUUUAGAUUAGCUAGAUAUGUAUGCGUUACAAUUUGAUGCCUUUGUACAAUAUAUCCCAGGUAUAGGAAAUGACUACUUUGGUGUAGCAGCUAAUUUUUUGGUUUUGAUGGGAACCUUUUACUUCUAUUUUCACUGUGGGUUGUCAUACGCAAACAUAUCCGAAGUAUCUUCUCAUUAUAGGCUGAUCCAAGAAAUUUAUCCUGGAGAAAGUCUAAUGUAGCAAGGUGGCAGGGGUUCAACAGAUUUAUAGACUGAAAUAUAGGUGAUUUAAACAAUAGAAAUUUAUCAUGGAGGAAGUCUAAUUCAGCAAGUUUGUAGGGGUUCAGCAGAUCAAUGGACCGAAAUCAGUUGAAGUCCAUUAUUUUGAUUCAUCUCCUUUAUAAGUUUGCCAUCUCAGUCAGAUAAAGAAGAAGAAUAUCUGACCCAUCUUCUUAAUGUUUAGAUGAAAUCCAGGUGAUUGAUGGUUUACAUCAUCUGCUAGAAUGGGUCAUGUACCUAUAUCUAUGUUCGACAAGCCUAUCUUAGAUUUGGCAUUCUAAGUGGAUCUCUUUUGCCAACUAUUCUAUGUCCUGCCAGAAAGCAUCCCUUUUGUUUUUGAUUCCUAUGGAAUUCAUCAUUGUGCGCCUCUAGAGUGUUCAUCUCGUGCAAAUCCCUUUUCCCUAUCUCCUGCCAUUUUGAUCUAUCUAGCUUUAUCAGUCUUUAUAGAGCUAUUUAAUACUUUUAGCCAAAUUUGGGUACCUAAUGAUCUCGAGGUACUACAAGUCACAUCUAGUGCUAUUAUAUAUACCUCUUCGUUUGUCUUAUGUCACAUUUAUUGUAGUAUGGUUAUUCAGUGGCACCAGUUCCUCUAAUUACCAAUUACAAGUACGCACUAUAACCUUACUUCUUCAAGUAUUAAGUGUGAUAUCACUGUGAAUAUGGUAGCAUGAUGAUGCCUUAUGCAAACUAUGAUUAUCACAGAGCCUACACUAAAAUGUUUCUGGAACUCAUUUUAGUUAAAAACUUUCAUCUCCUAACCCUGUGCUUGCAUGUGAUAGAUUGGCCAUUCAUUUUAUCCAUGCUCAUUCACUGUAUUGGAUGCUCCCAAUAUGGAAUUCCUUUUUGGGCUUGAUAUGCUACGUAAGCAUCAGGUAAUGAUUUAUAUGUUUAAAGGUCCCAUUUCUGAUUGAUAUAUGAAGCUUAUACUGAUUAUUUGUGUGAAAAUAUGCAGUGUAUUAUUGAUUUAAAGGAGAACGUCUUAAGAAUGGGUGGUGGAGAGGUUUCAGUGCCCUUUUUGUCAGGUUUUAUCUUAUGCUUGCAAGUUCUAUGGGCUCAUUUAUUCAAUGGUUGCUGGCAAGAUUUUAUUAUUUUUCCUUACUGUUUGUUUCCUAUUUUCUUAUUCAGUGCUUUUGAAAGUUUCUGCCACUUGCUUGGCAGUCUUUGAAUUCUUUCACUACUGGAUGCAUUAUUGAUUGUCGACUGGUGUAAUAUUCUCUUUCAGAGAAGGACAUUCCCUCUCUUAUCCAUGAUGAAGAAAGAUUCUCCAAACAAGCUUCUCUGGGACGAGGAUCUGUUCCAGUAAGUAACACUAAGUUUCUUACUUCCUUCUUUCUUUUUUGAUAGAUGUGUUGCAACACCAUUCUGCACAAGUACUCUUGAUUUUCUUUUGUAUCCCUUUCUAUGUAUUUCAUUUCUUCUAAAGUAGAUGAUUUGUAUUCAUGGACUUGUUAAUUUUUAUUCGAUAGGCUUGUUGGAUUAAUCUAUAAUUGGUAAUGCAUCCUAUGUUACCUUGUAUUUUUAGUAUGAUUGGAGUUAUCUGGCUCAUGCAAAUAUUUUUGUUUGCAUCCAGUCCAUCUGAUGCUGGACAUAAUUGAUUAAAUUAGGUAGCUGCAGAAGUUCACAAGAGUAGUACAAUUAUGUCCAUGUUGUUCCAUAUCCUAAAGUAGCAAUCAAAUGCAUGAUCUGUUGGUGUUUGAUAGUUUCUUCGCUUAUAGCAAUUAGUGUCUUUAAUGCCCCUUUGCAUGAUUCUUAGCCCUUGACUUCAUGUUAUUCUGCUCUCCACCCUUGGACCCCCAUCAUAUAACUCAGUGAAGAUGAAACAUUGAUGUGCAUGAAAAUGCCUGUUCCCCAAUGUUACCAAGAUCGUUUGGCAUCCAGUUCUUCUGUUGUAAUUUGAGUCAAAUUAGCUGCCUCUUAAUGUCAGUGUAUCAGUAAAACUGGAGUCCUUGAUUCUUAUAUAUAACCAAUAUAUCCAUAACAUAUAACAAGUUGUUUUUGAUUAGUUAAUGAUUUUACUUGCUAAAUGCUUCUAGUUUGGUGUAGAAGUAAUAUUCACAGUCAUGUUUAUACUUUAGAGGCUUUUGAUAGAAGUACAUUUUAAAGGCUGCAUUUUGGGCAUAAGUCUUGUGUUCCACCAAAAGGCCGUCAGCACAGGCUUGGAGCAUAGAUAUUUUCUGAAGAACUAACGCACAAACCUGUUGGUGGUGACAUUAAUGUCGCAUGAAGGAACACGCUAUAGGGACUUGGGGCAUUUUUGUUGGUGGGCCUGAGGCCCAGGCAGUAGACAGAACAUGUAGCUUAUGGUGCCUGAUAUUCAGGAAUCAUGACAAUCAUGAGGUUGAUGUGACGAGCUAAGCUGCACAUGGCUUGAGACCUCUUUGUGCAUGCUUAUUGCCAGCACACGGUUUCAAAUCUAUGCAAGCUUGAAAGGGAUGGUUAAAAGCUGCUUAAAUCUGCACGGAAGGAAGAAAGCAACAAAGAGCAGACAGCCGGCAUCUUUCCCAAGUCCUAACCCUAGAAACAUCUCUGGCAUUUUCAGUUGCAAUCCUUUGUUGAUUUCUUCUUUGGAUAAACAUCCACAGUUUUCUCAGCACCAUACCUUUACAAGCAUCCAUAUCUAUAGCUGCUUUUAAGACAGCUGUUAGCCUUUUAGUUGGAGCAAAACCAGUUCUUGUAGGGACUAUGGACUCCUCAAUUCUAAUUCCUCGCUUAUCUAAAAAAUAUAUCAGGUAGAGGUCCUUUAAACUAGACUAAGAGUGGGAGACCCCUUCUUGUCAUUUGUUCACUGGCAUAAAGUGAAUGCAGACUGACCUUGGAAUUGGCUAUUAAACUAAAUGUAAAUGUGUGGUACCUGUAUUUUCAAGCAGCAAAUGGGUUUGCUAUAUAAUAGUUUUCUGAUAUUUGAUACAUGGAUUUUAGUUCGUUUAAUCCAUUUGUAAACUUGUUCUAAAUGUAUGUUGGAUACCUCUGACAAAACUCUAUUGAUGUUGGGAGUGAACUGCACACCGACAAACAGCAUCUCUUCUGGCAAAAGAGUUGAGUAAUAAUCCAUGUACUUUAGUGGUAUUCUGGUGGAUUACUGUUUUGAACAUGGCAUUAUUAUGCAUGCACUAAUUUGACAUCAUAAAACUAGCCUUCUUUUCUUUUUUGUACAGUCAUUGUAACUACAAUGGAUCAGCAGUAUACUUUUUAGCUGUUCGAAAGUUACAGAAAAGUAACAGAUUUUAAUUUGGUAAUUCAUAUGCUGUAGUAUCAAGAGCUGUCAGCUUUAUGCAACAACAAGAUGGAUGCCUCUAUAUUGGGAGAAAAUAUGAAGCUGGAAAGCUCUACUCUUAGAAUGCUUCGAAGAAUUCCUUUGUUCUCUGUAGUUACUACAUAGAUUGAAUUUAUGUAACAGUAAUAAAAUAAAGAGAGGGCAUCAAUACUUGAUAUCAUUUUCUAUAUACCCUAUCUGUAUGUAUAACACAGUUAAAGCAAACUAUGGUAAACAUUAUGUCAAAUCAGCGUAUUCUGUAAAUCUUCUACAUUUAAUAUUGCUAGCAUUUUUUGUUCUGCCUGUCAAAUUAAUUAAUUCAUUGGAAGUUUCAUUGCCCUGAUUGAGAUGCCUCCUUUAAUUCCUUAGGAAACUUCAGGGGCACGAGAAAGGAUUGCUGACAUGCCAGCACAAACCCAAGCAUCUGGUUAGCUUCAGACAAUUUACCAUAGCUUACUGUGUUAUAGCUUACAAAUCUCAUGUCUGUUUUCAUUAAACAUCUUAUGUUCCUACUUUAAUUUCCUUUGCUUUCAGAUGAGCAUAAUUCCUCUGUAGCUGUCUAUUUUAUUCAUUAUUUUUUUAGAUUUGCUUUGUGAUUAUUAUUCAUUUCAUAAUGGCUUUCUGUUUGCUUUCAGGAACUCCACCAAAUGAUCGUGCACAGGUACUUUUGCUUUCCCUGGAAUCAGUUAAUACUUUCUAUUUUUAUCAAAGAAACUUUAUUCUAUCUAAGAUCAAGUCGUAGUCGGAUAUAUAUAUUUAUGAUGAGAAAUGCCUAAGUUUAAUCCUGCAUUAACAGACCUACUGUUCAAAUCGUUAAGCUGAGAAAAUAUAGAAAUGUGGGGCAUAAUACCUCUUGUUUGUGCAGUCAUGCAUAGUUGCAUAUAUUCAUGUACGUAAGCUCAUAGAUCCAUGCCAAUAUUGCACUCAUGAAUUCUGCACCAUUCAUACACCUGAGAUUGCGCUAUGAGAUGCCUUGAUUUGAAUCCACUUGGGAGCCAUUUAUGGAAAACCAACUGUUUUCACUGGUUGUUUUUCUUGUUUUUGCAUUCUAUGUUGUCAUAAUCUCUAUUUGUGUGCUGAAGCGAAAUAAGAGGAAAACUAGCGUGCAUAUUCUUCAUACUGCCUCUGGCCACUCUUGUGAAAAAUAAGUUCCUUUCCAUAUGCCAUAAAUAUCCUUGGAAGCCCCUUUUUUUGCAUCUCUGUGUACUGCAUCAACAAUGUGGCACCAAAUUUAUUAGAAUGCUCUUGCUAGAGUUUUCUGCUUCUCUUUAGAUUUGCAGUCAAAUCAUGUUUUUCCUUAUCAGAAUGCUUCUCUUUGGGUUUGUAUUUCUUAUGAUUCCUCUCUUUAUUCUUCAUUCUUUUUUUUUUUUUUUUGAGAAAGGAUUGGAUUAAAGCUCCACUUCUAGCAGCCAUUGAGCUGUAUAUGUUGAUGAAUCCAUUUGCGACCGCUAUUGAUGUUUAUGAAUUAUGUUCCAGCUGUAAUCAUGCUCUACCAAUCAAAUUUCACUAUUUUUUUUCCACCUAUAAAUACACAAAGAAAUGGUCCUCACUACAUGAUUAACAAUUAAGCAGGGUGCAGAUUUUGAGGCCAAAAUUUUAAAGCUCGUGGAACUUGGGUUUGAACGGGAGGCAGUGAUACGGGCACUUACACUGUUUAAUGGCAAUGAGGAACAAGCUGCUGGUUAUUUAUUUGGAGGCUAAGCUUUUUAUUUUUAUUACAAUUAUUUUAUUAUUUUCCAUCAUUAAAACCAACACUAAUUAGCAUAGACUGCUGGUUUGCUCAAUCAAACAAAACUCUUAUUUGAUUGCAUUGAUACCAAGACUCAAUCAAAAUUUGUUAUUAUAGAGACUUCUAAUAAAAUUAGGGCCAUUAGUGUCGAAGAAAGUGGCUCUUCAUAUGUUGUGAACUGCUGAUGUUUGUAUCAUGAAGGUAAUGAAGAACAAAGACCUCUACCUUCCAUCUCUUAUGCUGUUCGAAGUUUUUUUUAUUUUUUUGACAUACUAUCUGAGAUGUUUUAGAUUACUUUAUUGCAUGUUCUUUUCUAGUUCUCUGGUAUUGGGAAGUAAAUUGAUUGGUAGCUAAAGUUUGUUUCAAGCGGGAGCAUGGUUGUAUUCAGUUAUCCAGCAGCUAAAAUGUCCUUGUACUGGAAUGGUGUCCCAUUUUUUUUGGGCGUGGUGGUGGUUGGUUUUAAUGAGGCAGCUGACUCUACUUGAGAGGGGUCCCCAAUAAAAAAAAUGGGAAAAAAAGAAUAGAAAGGAAACUUGGGUGGGCUAAGUCUGUUUCAAUCAUAACAUAUUCAUAUACUUGGUGCCAAAUAAGUGGGGUGAAUUUGUAGUUUUCACCAUAUUUUGCUCUCCAAAGUUAAAAAAUUCCAAGCAUACAAAUUUUAAAAAGAGCGGGAGGGAAAUAAUCACCGGAUGUCCAUAUUUUGUUUGUUUAUUUAUGCUGUCUUAGAUUUUUAUAAUCAUAUUAAGAUCUGUUAAAAGAAUUAAUAUUUUGAUUUUUUCUACAAUGCUUAGAGAAUUGCUAAUGCUCAUAAAAUAGUUUAACAGAAGUGAAUAUGUCUUGAAAUGAAGGUUUACUUCCCCAUAAGUUUGAGAUGAGAUGGAGGUAGUAGGCCAGCAGUGAUAGGCUGGUAACAGAUGUAGAUCUCGAUAGGAUGAAUCGUAGGCAACUGUCGGAAAACUAUUAUGGACAAGACUUAUUAAUUAUGGUUAUAAUUGAUAUCUGCAACGACAACAGCAACAAAAAAGAAGAAGAAGAAGAAAAAAAAAGGCAUCCGAAGCGCUGAUGGAGUUUUCUUUUCGAUCGUAUUUCUCCUUGGUUUUCUUUCAUCUAGAUUGUGGGAACUUUCAGGCACCAACCUAUCUACAUUUGCUGAUCUCAAAAUGGAAGUCGUCUGGAGGUUCCUUCUUGGUGUAAGUCCAAUGGAAAAGUUCGCAGGGCACCCGUUGCGAUUCCCAUGGGUGCGUACGUUCAAGCUAAAUGGAGGAGUCCUUUUAAUAUCGCAUGCCACCUGUUUGUUGUACUAACCUAGGAGCGAAUACCACGGAUGCCAGCGCUUCUUACAGAGAAACAACCGUGUGGCCAGCAAAUGCCUUCCCACAAUAUGAUGUUAAUGUUUAAGUCCAGUUAUGGAGUUCCGGAUUGAAUUCUGCCUUAGGGCCUGUUUGGCUAUUAUUCCUGCAAAAUAGGUAUAAUAUGAUUCGUGAAUUAGGCCAUCCAUUUAAGCAUGGAAAUUCUGUAGGAAGGAAAAAAUAAAAGAGAUCUUGACAUCCGUUGUAGCUCAAAGGAUAGGAUUUGAGCCAGAUUUGGACAGGUUCUUAGCAAGAGGAUAAUUUUAAGCUCAAUUCUAUAGAAAUAUUCAAAUAGGUUAUUAAACAGCUUACUGGCCUCAACUAGCUCUAGGGCUUAUGUUGUAUCGUCAUCGUGACGCUGUAACCGAUCACGCAUGAUUUGCCAUACAAAAGAGCACAUGAAAGCAUUAUAGAUUUGAUUGUUCUCCAGGUGCAUGUUGCAGCCGGCUUAGAGCCUCAUGAAAAUGUGCAAACCUUUAUGCACAGUGAUUGUUUAAAGUCUUACGUGCUUAAGCUUUCAGAGCUUCAAGUGAGCCAUAUGGGGAAAAUCUAACCUUCUUACAGGUCGUCGAGUAACGUUCUUCUUAUCCGGAGAAUCCUCGAUCACAAUCAAAUGAUCCAGUAUAUAUAGACUAGAUCCCUACAAUUUGUGGUCUACUCAGCCGGAAUUUAGAUAUAGCCCCAACCUGAUCAAACCAGGCAAGCAAAUGAUAGAGUUUGGCGUUAAAUCAAAAAACCAAAGCCAGCCGCAUAGCAGAACAAUUAAUGCAACUGCUAAACAAAUUUCAUUGAAUAAAAUAACUUCUAAGGAAACACAGAUAGCCUUAAACAAAUAAAUAAUUUUUGCAGAAUAGUUAUUUAGUCACCAUGCUUCUCCUUUUAAUAAGUAUUAUUUGGAUUCCUAAAUUAUAUAUAAGUACUCAAGAUCUACCUAGUAUAUAUCCGACAUAAAACUAGAUACACUAAUAUAGGACUAAAUACAUUCAGGUGAGUCUUCGUAUGCUCCCAUUCAAAUCUUAUAAUUAGAGUCCACAGAAACUGUAGAACUGACGUCUUUGCUAGGACGAGGAGCCAAAUCCAUAAAGAAGCAAAAAUAUACCACUAUCUUAAUGUUAACUUUUGUUCAAUUACUCACUACGUUUAUAUCGUUCGGAUGAUAGUGUACUGCUGAAAUAGGGGACAAAGGACAACAUCUAGGUUGGCUGGCAAGAGCAGUUCCCUAGAGAAGAAUGAAAAGAGGGAAGAAUGAAGCCGUUCUUUUGAGAAGAGGAGAAUAGAGGAACACAUCAUACCCUGUGCGAGAGAAGAAUUCAUAAAACUAUCGGGCAGCAUAAAAAGAAGAUAUUCUCUAAUGCUUCUGAAUUGCCGAAAUGGCAAUUGAAGCGGCCAACUCAAAUAAUGUCCAACCUAAACAUUAACAUCAAUUGCUAAGAAAAUUAAUCAAAUGAACGAGUGCCAAGGCAGCACCAUGUUCCAUGAGCUACUAGCGUCCUCACCUAUGACACUACUUCCCUGUUCUCUUUGAGGAAGAUGACUUACAGCUAAAAAACCUUAAAAAAGAAAAAGAUCGUAGAGGAGGAAAUCCUAUGGAUCUAUCAAGCCAACAACCUUAUGAAAGGGCGUUCACCGCCACAGGAAUUCUCACAUAAUGCCUCCCAUCAGACCAUAUCAACCUUCCAAAUAGAUAUCCUCUGCCAAUACUCUUUUCGUGCGGCUUCAAAGUGACCUCAAACGCCUUCUCCUCCCCAACCUUAUCAAACUUGAGGAUCUCUGGCUUCACCGUCAUGGUUAUCCCAUAAGGAGGUUCUACUCGGGCCUUGUACGUGCCUGGUGAUCCAACGUUCUUCACGGUGCGAGUCAGAGUAAGAGUCCUGGUGACGGUAGGAACUGCAAUGGAAGGGUAGUUGAAGUCCUCCAUCUUUAUAGGAGUGGCUGGGCAUCGAUAACGCUUGCUGAAUUGAGCCAACUGAGUUGAAUUGUAGCCAAAAGCACACAAGUAGUUCAAGUAGUCGGUGAGCGUGAGGUCGAAGACCAGGCCAGGGUCCAUGGCACGGUUCGGUCGUAUGUGCCCCGAACCAUGAGCAAAUGGGGUAGCUUUCUCUAAUAAGUUGUACCCUUUCAUUGGUGAUCCCGUGUUAUCCCGGCUUCUUGCUGCAAAACAAGUAGAUUUACAUGUAUGAGACCUUUUUGACCUUGACAUUUUUCUUUAGCAUGCAUGUUUCUUCCCAGAGAGAAGAAAGAAAGGUAUUGCUUCAGAAGAUACAGAAUUUCUUCACGAUGCUGUCUAUAGAUCAAAUUAUUUCGAAGAGAUAGAAAUUUUGUAUAAAUGUAUCGUAUUAAGUAUUUUGCUUACGAGAAGUGAUUUUUUUUGGAUAUUAUAAUUAUCUAUGGCAAAUCAAAAGAAUGAUGUAAAAAAUAAACCAGUAAUUUAUAUAUUACCGGUGGUCAUGAUAGCUGAUCUAAUAGCAGCAGGAGUCCAGUGAGGAUGAAGUGUUUUGAGGAGACCAGCAACGCCAGAAACAUGCGGGCAUGACAUUGAUGUGCCGGACAACAAGUUAAAUGGGACGUGACGAUUGUCCAUGGGUAAGCCGGUGGCACUUCUGGCUCCCGUGAAGGCAGCAAGAAUGCCCACUCCUGGUGCAGUGAUAUCAGGCUACGAAGGGGAUUCGUAAGUUAAGAUGAUUAACGAGACAUUCUUAUGGAAAUUACAGCAAUAAGUUGAGAAGUAGUAGUAUAAGUUGAGAAGUAGUAGUAUAAGUUAAGAAGUAAUCCCGAAAAAAAAAAAAAUGGAGGAGUAAGUACUGCAAGAAUUAACGAAUAAAUGAAACCUUCAGAAUGUGUGGUGAGAUGAGAUUGGGUCCUUGAGACGAGAAGGCAGCCAUCGUUGGUGCCGGUUUUACGCCUAGUUUUGUUGCUGGGGCUGAAAUGGAAGCUACAGGUGACCUAAGAAAAAAGAGUGAGAUAAACUUAAUAUGAGGACAUAUUUAGUAUGGUGGGCGAGAGAGAGAGAGAGAGACAACAAUAUUUAUGCAGUUGAACUUCUGAUUUCCCUAUCUCCUUUUUAAUUAAAAAUUUACAAAAAAAAAUAUUGCUUUGAGAUUCCUAAGAUAUGUAAUGAAAAUAAAAUAAAAUGAAAAUAUGAUAUGAGCAUUUAUUAGUUCAUCUAGUUGGCAUCCCACUCUUAAAGUUUUUGCCUUUGGAGAAGUUCCAAGGUUCAAAAUCUUGCUAGGGGCACAGAUACCAUUAUAUAGCUAAAAAAUAUUCUAAAACCCCGACAGCUAUCUUUAGAAAAUAUAAUUUCUUUUAUUCAUAAAAUCUAAAAUUACAUCAACAAAAACUGUAUAUGGUACGUACAUUGCAAAACGAUAAAAGAAAGCAAUAUAAAUAUAUCUAUAUAUAUUUCAAUUAUGAUUGCAUCUUUAAUUGUUUUUUAGCUUUUUUUUUUCGAAGGAAGGUGAUGAAAACAAAAACCUACUUGGUAGAGUCCAUAUACUUGCGUAGUGCAACACCAUCUCUAUGAGUAACCAUUAGAGCUGGAAGAAUAUAAGGAUCUGAAAGCAAGCUGUUUCCGUCCUGUUUAUCGUUUAUGAGGACCAUCCCGGCACCGCCAGCCCUCAGAACUGCAGCACCCUUUUCCAUUCGCGCAAUAAUUCCGCGGAGGCAUGCAACGAUCUUUCCUUUUACUUUGUUGGGAUCAAGAGAGUCCAUGAAGCAUAACUGGCUGCAAGAUUCCGAACAACUCGAGAGCAUAAGAAGAAAUUAACUAAACUAUGAACCGAUGUUUGGUAGAAAUAAAGAUCAUAGUAAAUCAUCUUUCUGAAAAAAAAUAAUUUCAUAAGGCGAUGUUGGUAUCGAAAGACAGCUUGCUUUUGUUAGCAUAGCAAUCCCACUACUUCUAUCUAGGACAAAAGUGGGUAAUAGCAACUCAAAUAUUCCAAUUCUCAGCAUGAGCUCCUUACGCAUCAGCGGCAGAAACGUUUGCUUUCUUGGCAUCAGCACCACUGAUCAACGGGUAAAACUUAUUUGCUGGUAGGGCUACUGAUGCAAGGCUCCCUCCCUGAAGAACUCGUAAACAAAAGCGCAUCAUUUACGUAGGGAAAGCUUGCAGUGACCUAAAAUGGUUCGACAAGAAAGUAAAUGGAGCAUCGGGAGCACAACCUUCAUCUGCUUCUUGUCGCCGAGAGUGAGGAAGGCGGGGAAGUCCCUGUCGAUGGUGCUGGCCGCCGCAGUUACGAUCCAUGGUGCAAUGUUGGAAACUGACCCUCGGGCGGGGCCAGAGUUGCCGGCAGAGCAGACCACCGUGAUCCCAUUGACGACGGCGUGGAAGGAGCCUAUCGCGAUGGGGUCGUCGAAGUAGUCGGCGGGGUCGCCGCCGACGGACACCGAGAGCACAUCGACGCCGUCAUGGAUGGCAGCAUCGAAGGCUGCAAUGAGGUCGGCGUCGUAGCAGCCAUCCCAGCACACCUUGUAGGCAGCGACGCGCGCGUCCGGAGAGCCGCCCUUGGCCGUGCCAUUGGCUUGGCCGAAGAUGUUGGCCCCGGGGACAAAGCGACCUGCCGCGGUCGAGAGGGUGUGAGAGCCAUGGCCCUCGGUAUCGCGUGCAGAGCCGUUGACGACCUUCUUCCCGCUUCCAGCUUCGUAACCUUUCGUGAAGUACCGCGCUCCAAUCAGCUUCCUGGAUCCAUGGAAAGAUAGCUUUACAACUAUAUAAAUACCCAUGCUGUCGUAGGAUAUUAGAAGCAAGAAAAAAUAUUUGGUCUGCACAAUUAAAAGUUAUAUAUGUAACUUGGGGGCUUAAGAAUGAUUCGAUACAACAAAUAGAACUGUCUUGAUUCAUGGCAGAACCAAAUAAAACUUAUGCACUGGUGAAAAUAUGAAAGGUCUUUAACAAUUUUUUUUUUUUUGAUGAAAUAGUUUCGGAAGUACAAAGAGAAUUUUAAAAUAUAUUUAUCUGCUGAUGCAUUUUGAUGAAUGAAUUGUGAAUAAUCUGUUUAAUAUUAACUAGUUUCGAAACAAAUUAUUUGGCUGGUAUUGUUCUUGAGAAUCAUUAGCGCAAAGAGAAACUCAUGAAUCGUUGUUAAAAAAUUUCAGUAGUUUAAAAUAUUUUACUGUGGUCGGGUGUUGGAGCCUAAAAUAAAAGACCUGUUGCAAGGCACCCCUUCUUUAGUGUUAUUCUGGCAGGAUCCUCUCCAUCUAGAUGGAACCGGCCCCAUUCCUCUAUCAUUGAAGCUUUCAGAUUCUGGCCACACACCUGAAUCAGAAGAAGAGAUGGAAUAAAAAAACUUGGUGCAGUAAUAGAUUAAAUCUACAAAAGUAAUUGAAUAAAUUCUGUUAUACAAAUUACCAUGUUUUUCUUUUUCGUGUAAAAAAUAUCCCAUGAGACUAAAGAAAACCAAAUUAAUCACUAAUACUUUAGGUAAAGGAUGUUAAAAAUAGGCAAAGAAGACAACCAGUGUCAAGAGUUGCAAUGAUUGUAUCAUUGCCAAACUUUGCCUGGGCCCAGAUUGAUGAGUGGGGGACCCUGCCAUCCCUCUCCAUUGCAACUAGAUCCCAUGAUCUUGUUGUGUGCAAUUUCUUCGCCGUGUUUUCAAAUACUGAUAUUACUUCAGGAUGUUCUGCACAUGAAAUUAAUGCAAAUUGUUCAGAAAAAAAAUACAAAAAAAACUAAAUAAUAUAAAUCAAAUUUAAAACAGAAAUAACAUCUAACUUGAGAUCCGUUUUGCUUCUUCCUCUUCCAAUGUUGCAGCAAAGCCAUUGAUAUGUUUGGUGUAUGAGUAAAACAUUUCCACCUGGGCCUUUUCCUUGCUGUAAAAGAUAUAAAUCAGAGAUGAUGGACGAGAUAUAUAUGUUAAAGAUCAAACAAAUACAAACUUUCUGAUCACCUUCCCAAGAAGGACCCCAAGAACUCAUGGUGAGAGUCUGUGACUCGCUCAUAAUCUUCCAAUGUGGCUUCCGGGCCAUGAGAAUGCCCACCAAGGUACACAACAUAAGACUGCCAUUAAAGCCCAUAUACAAAUCUAUGAAUAAUAUCAAAGGAAAAGUUACUUUGAUAUGCAAAACCGACAAUUUUUUAUCAUCACUAUGGAAUCUGUGAGAUAAUGAUAACAACCUGACGAUAUUCUUACAUAAUAUAAGAUAAAUCUAUUCAUACUUCUUUUACUUUUUAUUCUUAGAUACUCCUUGCUAAGAUAAAACCUGAAACCAAGCAAAACUUGCCAAGCACUGGAAUAAUAAGAACGACUCAAUACAAACAAACAAAAAGAAAAAAAAAAACGGUCUAUAGAUUUGAAUUUCCUUAGAAAAGUCAUAAUACAUGAAAUUCCUUGAGAUUUUCCUUUGCCUUUAGUUUUCAUCAAAUUGUCAACCAUUUUUUGUUAAGUUAGGCAUGAGAACAUAUAGAUUUUUAAGUAUGAUCUCAAAGAAAACAACUUCAGCCAUUCUUCUCAAAGAAAAGGCAUCCAACCAUUGAUAAUCUACAAAAGCAUCGAAACUAUAUAAGAAAAUUAUAUCAGAGUACGUAGCACCGCUUGCCUUUUUGAUCGCAGAAGCCGGAUCCUGCAGUAAAUAAAAGACCAGAAGUACAAUAAGAAACUAAAACUCCUCCCCCCGAUCUCCAUCUUUCCCCCUCCUCCUUCGCUCUCAACUUGUUUCCUGAGUUGUUACCAUUAAUUCAGUUCUAACGACAUCUCCGCUGUUCUCUGGCAGUGUAUAUAUAUAAUGAUGUAAGGGACGUAGAGGAGUUUAUUCGUGGUGAAAGAUAGAAGGGUGAUCAAGAAUCUAGUGAGAGAAUUCUUCUACGUGAAGGUCGGGGAUGGUACUAACUGUUAUGGACUUGUUCCCGGGCUGCGAGCCAAGAGGCAGCUCUCAAACCUAGUGUUAAAGAAGAUUAAGUCGUAUUAGAUUGCCACGUCAUGCAAGGGAACAUGCCACAUCAUCUCACCUGUGCCCCCACUUGAGGCCACCUGGAUCGCACAUCAACCAAUUAGCUUUAAGCACCGUCAAAAUGGUUUUGGUAGAUGUGCACAGUGGACAUUUUACUACUAACGGUUGUGCCGUGGAAAUUAUUAACAAACAAAAAAAAAUUAAUGUUGACAAUGCUCAGCUGUAAUGGCCGUUUUCUUUUUGAAAUUCAAACUAUUCUGGGAAAAUUUCAAUUCAAUUUAUGAUGCUUAGGCGUAACUGAUGUUGUUUGAUCGAAUAAACUAGUCCAUGCGUAUCUGAUAAAACUUGAUUUACCAAAUUUUAACUUUUCUCAAAAAUUAGGUUUAAUUUAUAAUGUCAGCUGUACGUAACAGCUGCUGUUUUAGACUUAAAUUUGUAAAUUUGAACUUUUUUUUGAGUUAAAUUUAAUUCAAACCUCUUUGUCAAUUCAAAAGGUACUAUAUCAUUUUAGAAAUAAUAUAUAUAAGUGAGUAAGAGAAAAGCAAGAAAGUAGGAAGCCACAUACAUGCCUCCUACGAAAAUUUUAUUUUGGUAAUUCUAAAAGGAUAUUUUUUUCUUCAUGGUGGGAUUAGAAAAGGAGAGUCCAAUUAGUUUGAAAUUCAUGAAAUGGCAUGGUUGAUUUUUUUAAUCUUUUUUUUUUUAAGAUUUCUCCUCAAUUUUGGGGAAUGUGGAGCUUUUGCAAAAAUUAGAGUUGAGAACUGAGAUAGAGACGUGGGAAAAGAUGUGGAAAAAAAUCCAACCUUCACAGGGAUAGAUUAGGCGUGGAGAGUGAAGGGUGAAACUGGAAAAAAUAUAUUUAAACAAAGCUUAUUUUUAACAAAGAUAACCAAUGGUUGUUUCCUGCUUUCUUUAUUAAAUAUAGCUAUUAGUUUAUAAUUUUGUUGCUUCAGAAAAUAAAUAGCUAGAUUGGGCUAGGAUGGGAAAUUGAUAUGAGCUGCUCGUGAAUGAAUAAUAUUUCUCCUCAACUCUAGGCUCAGUCAAGUUUGAAAAAAUUAUAGAAUUGUUGAGGUCAAUAUUAUGUUUUAGGCCAAAACUUAACAUACAAGUUGUAAAAGAACAGAACUUAGUUUGAAGACAGAUAGCACAAUUCAGAUUGGAUAUAGAUAUAAUUACCAUUUAUAUUUAUAAUACCAACACACACACACACACACACACACACACACACAACACAAUAUAUAUAUAUAAUUAACUUUUUGAAAUAGAGCAACACAAGUGUCAUUUCAGUUUUAUUCAAGCAUAAGAUCAAGUUUGAUUUGAAGUAGGGUUCUUUUUAUAGUUUUAACUUGAAAUUUAAGCUUCAUCAAGCUUGUCAAAUUGUAAAAAGUUAAACUUGAUCUUAAAAUUUAGGCUAAAAUUCACAUAAAGUGAGCUUGAUUGAGACCACAAUCGACUAAAUACACACUUAUAAUACAACUAUAGCAGACUAGAUGAUGAAAGGUGUUGUAAUUUUGUAUAAUAACUUCUCUCCGAGAAAGAGAUGUAUGAUAUUUCUAUAAGGAGGUUAUUACAACAUGUUUUUGUUAUUACAACAUGUUUUUGAGAAGGAGAGAGAGCCUGCCUGCUAGUGGGGAAAAAAUAUUGGAGGGAGUGGGGCGCGGAGAAAAUUGAGAUUUCAUAGUAAUUGCUGAUUACUAAAUGUCUGUAUAUAUUAUCGAAAAAGGCAAUGGCUGAGGAUAGAUAGAAGGCAUUCCCCUUGAAUUAAUUAAAAAUUUCAAAUUAUAUCUUAGGGUUAAAUUUUAGAUCAAUGAUAGUCUUUCUACUCAUUAAUUGGUAUAGAUAAAAUGCAAUCACUUGGUUAUAGGGUUGUCUAUCCAUUUAUUAUAGGGAUUUUAUAGUUGAUGCACAAUCAAUAAUAACUAAUAAAUAAAUAACAUUGAAAUGUUUGCUCCAAUCAUGAUGGCAUAUUUCUUUUAUGGUGAAUAACUCAGAGAGGGAAAAUUUUCGAGAUUCUACAAAACAAAAUACAGAAAAUGGCUAAAAGCUUAAGAAGAUUUCUUGAAAAACAGAAAAUCAUGGCUUAAUGCUGAUGUCAUUCCACAGGUGCACAAACCAAGAAACUGAUAACAAGAUCAGAAACGGUUUUAUCAAUACCUAUUUUGAAGUGGUUGCAGAUUUUUUAAAUAACAAUUUUAUUAUCUAUCGUUAACAUACACUAUAUAAUGGACACUUUGAAUAUCAAGUGCAGUUGGAAAAGCUGACUUUACAUAGAGCAUGUGUCUAAGAGACAAAUAAAUAAGUCAAGAUUGGACUAGAGAUUUGUGACUAAUUUGUGUAAUAUAUCAUAGUGUAGUGUGCAAGACCCAACGAUUUUUAUGUGAAGCAUGUCAUUUAUUACAACAAAAAAUAGAAAACUAUGUUUGCUAAAUCAAAAAUAGGAAAUCCUUUUGCAUUGCUUUUUUUCUGGUAAAUAUUAGGCAUGCAGCCACCAUCGAUCAAUAGAAGAUAUCUCCAAGGAUGGCGUACCUAUUGGCAUUCACAUACUUCUCGAUCCCUUCUACCAUCGUGAUGUAAAAUAUUUUUGUUAUUGACGACGUUGUUGUUUUCAUUGUUGGCGGAUAAGUCGCUAAUGAUUAGGAGGACAUCACCGUCACGAUAGGCAUAGGAAAAAUAGGAUGGGUUCCAAGUUAUUUUAAAAAUAGCAAAACUAAAAAAAAAAUUUCAAUUUUUUUCAUAAAUUAUAAAAGUUAUUUAUAAAAAUAAAAAAUAAAAAUAAGGAAAUUAAGCAUCUUUCUUAUGUUGGAUUCAUGUUUUUACUUUUAAAAAUAAAAAAUAUAAAAAUGAUACGAAACAUGGCCGUAUUUGUUUUUAUUUUUUUUUUGGACUUCUACGUAUAGGAAGUUUAUCGGUCUCGCCGAUUUUAUAUGCGGAAUGUAUAAAUACUAUGCAGUCGAAGCAGCGAGUUGCAAUUAAUCUACCAACAACCGCACCUAACAGGCUAACAUAAGUCUAUCGAGGAUUCCGUUUAUAUUCGCCUGCUCCUCUUCGGCCUUCUCCUUCUCGAAUCCAUGGCGAUCGCGGCCCUCCCAAAUCCAGGGCUGUCUCCGAUGGCCUCUCUCUCUCGUUUCACUCUCACGCCGCCGAGUUAUCCGACCUCCGACCUCGGCGCGAGCGGCGCCUCCCUAUUUCUCAAUCAGGUCACGAACUCGAUCUCCAUCAUCUCGUUGCUUGCUGAUUCGAUUUGAAAUAGCGGUGGAGAUUCUCAAAUUUGCCAUCUUUCCACGCUGCAGCUCUGUAACCGAUCCAUUUCCCUUCUAUUCUUCAUAAGUCGAAUUAUUCAUGAUGGCUGAUUCCUUCAUUCCGAAAAUUUCAUUCUUUUCUUUAUAAUUUGAAGUAUUUAUGAUAAUGGAUUCCACAUUGAUCCGAAAUUUUUGAAGUAGAUCUUGGUACUGAGAGUUGGCUUCCUUCUUGGUACUCCUUUCUCCUUUGUUUCCCUUCCCCUGCGUCAUCUUGGAGAUAAAAAGGUGAUCUUUGGCAUUCUCAAACUUGUUUCUAUUAGCGAAAACAAUGGUUACCAUAGAGUGAAGCUAGAGUGCGCGGUAGGCUGCAACUAAAGCCAAAGGCUUUUGUGUGUGUGUGUGUGUGUGUCUAUAUAUAUAUAUAUAUAUUAUUUUGAGAAGAGUAUUACUACGUAAGUUAAAGGUAAAAAAAAGGUUGUUACGUUGGUUCGUUUUNNNNNNNNNNNNNNNNNNNNNNNNNNNNNNNNNNNNNNNNNNNNNNNNNNNNNNNNNNNNNNNNNNNNNNNNNNNNNNNNNNNNNNNNNNNNNNNNNNNNNNNNNNNNNNNNNNNNNNNNNNNNNNNNNNNNNNNNNNNNNNNNNNNNNNNNNNNNNNNNNNNNNNNNNNNNNNNNNNNNNNNNNNNNNNNNNNNNNNNNNNNNNNNNNNNNNNNNNNNNNNNNNNNNNNNNNNNNNNNNNNNNNNNNNNNNNNNNNNNNNNNNNNNNNNNNNNNNNNNNNNNNNNNNNNNNNNNNNNNNNNNNNNNNNNNNNNNNNNNNNNNNNNNNNNNNNNNNNNNNNNNNNNNNNNNNNNNNNNNNNNNNNNNNNNNNNNNNNNNNNNNNNNNNNNNNNNNNNNNNNNNNNNNNNNNNNNNNNNNNNNNNNNNNNNNNNNNNNNNNNNNNNNNNNNNNNNNNNNNNNNNNNNNNNNNNNNNNNNNNNNNNNNNNNNNNNNNNNNNNNNNNNNNNNNNNNNNNNNNNNNNNNNNNNNNNNNNNNNNNNNNNNNNNNNNNNNNNNNNNNNNNNNNNNNNNNNNNNNNNNNNACCUGAAACCAACCCAUACCUCAGUCAACUUAGAGUUGGCCUAUACUGGCAGUAAAAUUCUCAUGAUAAGGCCAGGCUACUAAAGAUAAUGAAGAUUGAUUUCAGACAGUCUCAGCAUGUGGCAAUUGAUCCAUAUGGUCAUAAAGCAUUUCUUAACUUUUGCUCUCAUUUUUUUCAUAACUGGGUUUGAACCUAGGACCUCUCACUUGGAGAGGCAAGGCUGGUGUUGGUAAGAAGCUUUUAUGGAUUCUAGUCUAAUGAAUUUGCAGAAGUUUCCUUCAAAGAUUUGUAUAAGAAUUUCACAGUGAAUUUGCUCUGACCAUUAUGACUUCUUUAUGGAAAAUAACCCAGCCAGGAAUUUUUUUUCAAGUUUCCAGAAAACAAAACAUAAAAAGGGGUAGUAGUUCAGAACAAUUUCAAUAAAAUAAAAGAUCACAUGUUCAACAAUAAGAAUGAUGUGAAGUAGUUUCAGUAUUAAGAACCAAUAAACAUUAGAAAGAUGAUAUGAAGAUAUCAAGAACAAUUUAUUUUUUUAUUUUUUGAGGAAAAUCAGAAGUAGUUUAUCAACAAUUGUUAGAAUAGUUGUGGAAAUCUGGGAAGCAUCUAAAUUGUAAACAAUAUCAUCAUAUAGUAAUAAUUUAAUGACUCAUUUGGUCGAUAAAAGUGUCAUGAUUAUCCAGUGAAAUCAACAAUAAAUUGGAGACUGUUAUGGCUAUGGUAAUGAAUUGGAGACUGUUAUGGCAAUGGUAAUGAAUAAGUAGAGAAGCAAAUUUCAGAAAAUUUCAGUGAUACUGACCGUCUGAUCCUUUGAGCUACAAAAUAAGAGGAAAGAGAAGGAUGAAGAAAUACAGAGAACUAGUUCUGAAGCAAUUUUCUAAUUGCUUUAAUUGAUCCAAAUGAUACAAAUAGCAAUCUCUAUCCAAUAACUUCAUCUUCCAAUGAAUCAAACCACCAGUUUGCUUCUACAACUGCUCACAAUUUUUUUAAAAAAAUAUAAAAAACUUUUCAGCUCCUUGGCUAAGGCUCCAAUCCUGCAGCACUCACUACUAAAGGAGUUUGCACGUAGUGCUUCCCAUCAGACCAUAUUAGUUCUCCAAAAACAUAAUCCGUAGGUGCAUGACCUUCCUUCAAAGUAACCUCAAACUUUUUCUCUUCCCCUAUCUUGUCAUAUGUUAAGCUUGUUGGAUUCACGGACACUGAAAUACCUAUUGGUUCUCUGACACGGACGAUGUAUGUGCCUGGCGAUCCGACAUUCUUCAUUGCGCGGGUCACAGUGAUGGAGCCAGAGAGAUCAGGGAUGGUGAUUGAAGGGUAGUUCAAAUCUUCAAGCUUUGGGGGUUUAGAGGGGCAUAAGAAGGAGUCAUUGCUGAUUAAUGCUAUCUGGGUGGAGGUGUAGCCUAGAGCACAUAAGAAGUUCAAAUAAUCAUUUGUUGUUAAAUCAUAGACCAAGCCAGGAUCCAUGGCACGGUUUGGUUGCACAUGACCAGAUCCAUAGCUAAAUGGUGUAGCCUUAACAUAGGAUGAAUUUAACACAGGCUCGUCCAUGUUGUCCUGAGUUGUUGCUGCAAAUUAAUAGAAGGAAAAAAAGGGGGAGAGAGAGAGAGAAAGAAACAAGAACAGGCAAGAAUUAUAAUUCAUUCACACAAUAUUAUCCAAAUCAUAAAUUGUGUUCCACAAAUGAAAGAACAAAAAAAUAUCAAAGUUGUGAAUCUUUCGUGAGUAGGAUGAGACUAUGAGUGAGGAACAAAAAUCAUGAAAUUUGAAAUUAUCUGCUGUGGUUAGAACUUUCCAAUUACACAGUCAUGAUCAUAUAUUACAAUCCUAGCACAUAUUUUACAAAAGAAAUAAAUUCCCUGAAAGUAGAAAAAAAAGUUGAAUUAAUAAAGCUUAUGAAUCUCGUACCAGUGGUCAUGAUUGCUGAUUUUAUAGCUGAAGGACUCCAAUCUGGGUGGAGACUCUUGAGGAGGCCCACGACACCAGAUAUAUGAGGACAUGACAUGGAAGUGCCAUAAAGUAAGUUGAAGGCAACACGUCGGGUAUCGAAAGCUAGGCCAGUUGGUCCAGCAGCUCCUGUGAAGGCAGCAAGAACACUAACCCCUGGUGCAGUGAUAUCAGGCUGAAAGGUGCAGUGAUAUCAGGCAGCAAGCAAGAAGUUAAAUUGAUGAAUUAGAAGAACUCAGAUGAGCUAAAGAAGGAAAAUAAUAGAAUUUUUUGUAAACCUUUAGGAUUUCAGCAUUGAUAGUGUUUGGCCCCUGAGAUGAGAAAGCUGCCAUUAAUGGUGCUGGUUUCGUGUCGAGCUGUGUUAUUGGGGUUGUAAUGUAACCAAGUGGUGACCUGACAGAAAAUUGUCAUGGUUAGAGGAUUAUAGUGCGUAUUUGUUUGACAUUUGAGUGACAAUUUGUGAGUGUUUGUAAAGGAAAUAAUAAUAUCAUAUAUUUACAUUUUGGUCCAAGUUAAUGUGAAUGAACAUAUGCAUGCAAUGCAUAAGAUGGCCAACAAUUUGUCCACUAAUUAAAGGGUGAUUUAUUACAUUGCGUGUUUAAAAUAAUCAGGGAGACAACAAUAACCAAAAUCUAAGUUGUUACUUGAUAAACUGCUAGUGUUUCAUUUCUCUAUAGGUUGAUUGGCGAAAUAUUGAAUCAUAUGUGAAUUUUCAGGGAAUGACUUCACUGGUAGAAAGCGAAUUCAUUAAUGGUCUGUAUAAUUCUGUGAUCUACAUCCUUGCACAGCAGAGCACAGAACAUUUCUGUGACUAUAAGCAGGAAAUAAAUUGGAGACAGCUUACUUGGUGGACUUGAGGUAUGAGAAGAGAGAAAAGCCAUCAUUAUAAGUGAUAUGGGUUGCUGGGAGGAGGUGGGCAUCGGCGCUGAUUUCAUUUCCGGAGCUCUGAUCAUUGACGAGGACCAUCCCGCUGCCACCAGCCUGCAGAACGGCUUCACCCUUCUCCACUCUUGCAGUAAUUCCACGGAGACAGACGACUAUCUUCCCUCUAACCUUUUCAGGGUCGAGCGAACCCAGGUAACACAACUCACUGCAGAAUUAAAGAGAGAGCAAAUUUGUUCCUCUGUUAAAAUCAUCAAGGUUUAUCUGCUGCUUGGUUGACAAGAACUCAAUAGCCCUCACAUAACUGCAUAAGUUGUAGGUUUGCCACAGCCUGUUUUGGUCUUCAUUAAGAAUUUCACCUAGUCUUCUAAUAAGACCUAGAUCGAUAGUACGAUGUAAUACGAUACAGUAUGCAGAUUGUCAAAUUAAGUGAUAAUUGCAGAACUUGCAAGAUAAUUAAUUAUGAUUACGAUAUCUAACAAGUCUUCCGUAAUGGGAUUCUUUUAUAGCUAUGCUUACUUGAGAAUAGACGGCUUCAGCAUACCAGUUGAUAUUGCACCAGAGAAAUUUACGAGUAAGUUAAUGGUGGGAUGGAAAUGAGUUGGUUCUUACGCAUCAUGCGCGGAGGCAUUUGAAGCUCUGGCUUCUUUGGAGCUUAUCAUUGGAUAGAGCUCGUUUCCUGGCAGGCCUUUUUGAGAAAGGCUCUCCCCCUGUAAAGAUAAAAGAAAACUUGGUCAGAGAAUUAUAGUUGACCUUAUGGCGUAUCAUAUUAUUUAUUAAUGAAAUAAACAGAAAUCGUCGUAGUAUAUAAAAGUAAUCUACGAGCAUAUAGCCGAAGUAAGGUAGAAAAAAAUACCAAAAAAAUUCCGAGAGAAUAAGAAAAAUAAUUAUAAAUAUUUUUCAUUUGAGAGUGAGGGGGAUUAGAACUUUAUAAGCGCCGGGCCGACAACCUUAAUGCUUUUGUUGCUGAAGUUGACGUAGGCUGGAAACUCCCUGUCCAUGGUGCUAGCGGCUACUGUAAUUAUCCAUGGUGCGGUGUUGGAGACGGAACCUCGGCGCGGGCCGGAGUUGCCGGCCGAGCAGACCACAGUGAUCCCAUUCUUGACGGCAUGGAACGACCCGAUCGCUAUGCCGUUGAGAAAGUAGCUGGGGGAAUGCCCGCCGAGGGACACCGAGAGCACGUCCACCCCAUCGUGUAUCGCUGCAUCGACGGCGGCGAUGAUGUCGGCGUCGAAGCACUCACUCCCAUUGAUGGGCGGCCAGCAGACCUUGUAGGCCGCGACGCGGGCCCGCGGGGAGCCGCCUUUGGCCGUGCCGUUGCCGUAGCCAAAGAUGUUGGCGCCGGGCACGAACCCACCGCCGGCGGUCGAGAGGGUGUGGGUCCCAUGACCGUCUUUGUCCCGCGGCGUUUCGAAGGUGGCGUUGAGCGGGCCGGCCGCGGCUGCGUAGCCUUCGUUGUAGUACCGUGCACCAAUCAGCUUCCUGCAUACCACAAAAUAAGAUCCAUCAUCAAAUCAUAGGAUUGAUAUAUUAAUAAAGCUUAAUUACUCUCACAAGUAAAGAUAAGAGUGACAAUGCUUCAACCCAUUGGUAGAUUGGGCUAGAUUAUCUAUUUAAUAAUAGAGUUAAGUCUGAAUUUAAAUUUUUAAUUUGUUUAAUAAAUAGAUCGAGUUUCUAUUGACAAAUUUUUGGUCUAAUCCAAUCCAAUUGCCAUCUUUUUUUUUUUUUAGUAAAGGUUGGUGGUGCACUGUCCAAGACCAGAAUCUUAAAAUUUAUAUAAAAAAAAGGAGAUGAAAUGUAAUGGCCAGUUACAUACCUGAAGAUGAGAUUAUUAUAAUUAGGUUGGCAUGUUAUAGUUUAGCAAAUUAUCAUCCACCCCACCCCCACCCCCUAAAAAAGUAAAUUUUAAGUGGAGAGAUUUGUGGAUCUCAACUCAAAGGUGGUAUUGGUUUUAAUGGUUGAAGAAGCCUCGGCUUUUGCGCUAGUUAGUUGGCUAAAUUUCUUCCCAUGGACUGAAAUUUGGAAGGAUCCGGUCUCCCUUAGCUGGCACCCCCACCGGCGCUGAACCCAAAAGGUUGAAUGCAGAUGGUAUUUCUCUGAAUAUAUAAUACAUUGGGGUGAACUCUCCUUCAAAUCAAGUUUUUUAGAGCAUAUUUUCUUUCAGAACCUUUUUUGGAUUGUGAGUGCUCUAAAAGAAGACAAUACAUNNNNNNNNNNNNNNNNNNNNNNNNNNNNNNNNNNNNNNNNNNNNNNNNNNNNNNNNNNNNNNNNNNNNNNGGAUUGGAGCACUAUAUUCUGUAAAGUAGAAAGUUGUUCGAGGACCACCAAUAACUAUGAAGAGUUAAAGUCCUAACUCGUCAGUUAAAAGGUGCACAGAAUUUUACAUAAUUAACUAUAUGCAUGGGUAGAAUCAUUCACCUGUCCUACCAAAAUCAAGUUUUUGUUAGGCAUGGAAAAGUAUAUUUUAUGAAACAAGUUUAUGUCCUUGGGCAAAUUGAAGUUGUCAGGGUAGAACCGUCACCACUUAUCUCCACAAAAUAUACUAGCGUAGAGAUAAGUGCAACCCUUUUACAUUGUUAUGAAUGUGAUGAUCUUGUAAUAAAUGCAAUGAUAGCUUAAAGAGGAAAUGAAAUAAUUGAAUGCUCUACGAGAGCAUUUAAAAAUUCAAAGUAGUUCUAUUAUAUAAAAUAGUCCAUGGAAACUUUUAUGCUGGUACAAAUCUUGUAGAGCCAUGUUCGGCAGCAGGGCUCGCAAGGUCAAUUUUUCUGACAGACAUCUAGUACAUGGUGUGGCAAAAUGCAUGUAAACGUGUGGAAGAUAUGUUUGAGUUCAACUUAUUAUCAAAUGAAAUUGCUGAAAAGCCCUUGAAGUUAUCUGGAAUAAGAUCUAAUAAUACUUUUAUUUUACUAGCAAUAUCAAAAAUAUAUGAUUCAGUAUCCAUAGAAGAGACGAAAGCUAUCAAACUAAUUUAUAGAUGCACAUAAUUCCAGACAAAUUCAGCAAAAUUUUCCAAGUAGCAUGAUGUCAACAGCAUACAACCAAACAAGGAAGCCCUCUGUCCACUGUGUCCAAAUAAUCACACGACUCGCAAGUUAGUCAUUGGUGGAAUGCAAGGAUGUAAUGAAGGCUUCGUACUAGAUGGAUGGGUAACUAGAAACACAAGUUCGAGGGCAUCUAUCAUAAGAAAGGGAGUGCAGGGAAUAGACCUGUUGCAUGAAAAGCUCUUAUCUUCUCCAAUCUGGCAGAUUCCCUUCCACUUGGACGGAACUGGCCCCAUGCCAUCAUCCUUGAAGCUCUCGGACUCUGGCCACACGCCUACACAUCCACAGUGCACAAAAGAAAAUGGUUCAGAUAAUUUAACUUGAGGAUGAAAAGGAGGAACCCAAGUGAAGAAAAUAUAGAACAUGUAGUCUUGGUCAAUGGUUCCUGUCCAUCAUGAACAUGUAAUCAGUGGAUCCUCCUGAGGGAGGCACUGUUGUAAGAGCCCAUAUUUUCCUUUGGCUUGGCCAGCCUCUGGGACACUGCACCAGCUCGGCCCGUGUGGUAGGGGAGGAAGUCUUCCAACCGGAGUCUUCCUCUUCCCCUGCUCCAUUCUCCCUCCGAUCCCACCGGAAGAGGGCAAUCAAAGCUUACCAUUUAAGCCGAUUUUUCACCUAUAAAAGGCACUCUUCUCCCUCUUCCUUGGCAUCAACCUGGGAGCUCUUCCAUUAGAGAUUUAAACAGCUAGGUGUUCCGUGGCAAGAACUCGGAGCUUUCACCAUCGAGCCGGCCGGAGGAGCUCGCCGGAGGCAAGGUGAGCUACCUCUCCUCCUUUUUACAGUUGUCAGGCCUUUGUUCCAUCUUGAAUCCGGCCGGCGAGCCGCCGGAUGGGGUGAUAAUCGCGCUUCCCCUGUUUGGUUUAUUUUCCACCCGUUUCGGCCUGCCGUCGCCGGGCUUGACAUGCCGCCGACACUGCAGGGGUCGUCGAUCGUUGGGGAUUGCCAGCCACGGGCGGCCGCCGCCGCCGAGCAUUCCCUUCGGGAAGAGAGAGAGAGAGAGAGAGCCCCUUCCGGUCCUCUCUUCCUUUCUCCUUAUUUUUCUCUCCCCUCUCUCGAGUUUCGCUCUCUUCUUUUUGGUACUUUUUCUCACUAGCUGGAUUCGGAGAAAUCAUUUGUUGUGAGGACUGCUAGAUAGCUUUGGGUUGUUACAUGAUGGCAAAUCCAUUUAGUAGAUCAGUAGAGAGUUCUGGAUUGUUAGAUAUUCUAGAUAAUUUUUGAUAUUGACUUGCUUCUAUAGGAGAACGAUCUUUUGCACAAGAGGACGGUGAGUAGGGUUUUGUGUACCCCGAUUCGUAGAUCGCAGUGUGGAUAGAUGAUUAGUUUAUCUGGUGUCAGCAAAGAUGUAAGAAUUCUUGUACAUCGAUUUGUAUGAUAUAGAUAUUUUUGUACUUAUAUGUAUGAUAUGCUAAUGAUCCAAAAAAGUAAGAAGUAAAAAUAGUUUUAUGAUGGUUUUGGUAUUAAAUCGUAUUUUGAUCAUGUUUGCUUGUGAUUGAUAGUAUGGUGGAUGUAUAUAUGAGCAUAAUUUACACUUGCAUGAUUGGACUAAUGGACGUGGUGCUCUCGACUAAUCAUGUUAUUUUAAUUACCUCAUUAUGAGUGGAAAAACGUGACUGUGGUUAGUCUAAAGUCGGAAAGAAAAAGGAAUUGUUGUAUAGAUAUGAACUUAAGUGAAUGAAUAAGAACUUUGGGCUUAUCUCAUUAUCAUUGGUUGCCCCAUCACAUGCUGAAAAUGUGAUACUAUUGAUUGCCCCGUCACAGGCCAGAAAUAUGAAACUAUUGGUUGCCCCAUCAUAGGACGAAAAUGUGAUA
rnacentral:lncRNA from 1 species